rnacentral:lncRNA from 1 species
UGAAAAUGAUAAAAAGAAAGAUACCCCUAUUGUCACUCCAAAAAACGCUCCCUCAUGAACUGGACAAUCAGUGGGUUUCUACCAACAAAGAAAAAAGUAAUAAUUUGACUAAGGAAUUUUUAAAUCGACUUGAAGUUCUAGACUUGGAAUCUCUUUCUCUGGAUAUACUUGAAACAAGGACUAGAUUGUGUAAUGAUGAUACUAAAAAAGAAUACAUGCCUAAAAUGUACGAUCCUUUGUUAAAUGGACCAUAUCGAGAAACAAUCAAAAAACAAAAAACGCUCCCUCAUGAACUGGACAAUCAGUGGGUUUCUACCAACAAAGAAAAAAGUAAUAAUCUGAAUAAGGAAUUUUUAAAUCGACUUGAAGUUCUAGACAAGGAAUCUCUUUCUCUGGAUAUACUUGAAACAAGGACUAGAUUGUGUAAUGAUGAUACUAAAAAAGAAUACAUGCCUAAAAUGUACGAUCCUUUGUUAAAUGGACCAUAUCGAGGAACAAUCAAAAAAGGGGUUUCACCUUCAAUCAUAAACAAUAAUUCGCUAGAAAAUUUGAAAGAGAGAGUUAGACUAAAUAGGAUUCAUACUAUCUUUCUUCCGAAUACUGAUUACCAAGAAUUUGAACAAAAAGUGGAUACGAUUGAUAAAAAACCAUUAUCAACAGAAAUUGACGAGUUCUUAACUUUAAUCAAUGAAUUUGGUAAGGAACCAAAAUCGAGUUUAAAUUUGAAAGACCUUUCUUUAUUUUCAGACCAAGAACAGGUAAGAACGAAUUCAGAAAAAGGAACUAAAUUUUUAAAAUUUGUAUUCAACGCAAUUGAUCCUAAUGAGACAAAAUCUGGAAACAAAUCGAUUGGAAUAAACGAAAUCAGUAAAAAAAAACCUCGCUGGUCAUGUAAAUUAAUCACCGAAUUGGACCAACAAUUGGGUAAAUUUGAAGAUGGCCUAUCAGUAGAUUAUCAAAUUCGUUUAAGAAAAUUCAAACGUGUAGUUAUUUUUACUGCCAACAACGAGAAGAAGGAUCCUGAUGAGACCAACGAGGAAGUGCCUUUAAUAAUCUAUUCGCAACAAUCCGAUUUUCGGCGAGGUAUAAUUACAGGCUCUAUGCGGGCUCAAAGGCGAAAAACAGUUAUUUGGAAACUAUUUCAAGCAAAUGCGCAUUCCCCCCUUUUUAUCGACAGAAUAACCCCCCCCCGUCUUUUUUCUUUUGAUAUCUCUUGACUGAUUAAAACCAUUUUUCGAAAUUGGACAGGUAAAGAGGGAGAAUUCAAGAUUCUAGAGUCUAAAGAAGAACAAACAAAAAGAGAAGAGAAAAAAGAAAAGGACAAAAAAAAGGAGAACACCAGAAAGGAAAAAGCACGGCUAGCGGUAGCAGAAGCCUGGGAUAACAUUCUUUGUGCGCAAAUAAUAAGAGGUUACAUGUUAAUAACUCAAUCAAUUCUUCGAAAAUAUGUUGUAUUACCUUCAUUGAUAAUAGCCAAAAAUCUCGGGCGUAUGUUAUUCUUGCAACUUCCUGAAUGGUCUGAGGAUUUGCAGGAAUGGAAUAGAGAAAUGCAUAUUAAAUGUACUUAUAAUGGUGUUCAAUUAUCAGAAAUAAAAUUUCCACAAAAUUGGUUGAGCGAUGGGAUUCAGAUCAAAAUUUUAUUUCCUUUUUGUCUUAAACCUUAGCAUAUAUCUAAACUGUACCCCUCCCGUGUAGAGCUGAUAAAAAGGAAAAAACAAAAAGAUGAUUUUUGUUUUUUAACAGUUUUAGGAAUGGAAGCAGAACUUCCCUUUGGUUCUCCCCGAAAGCGCCCUUCCUUUUUUGAGCCCAUUUCUAAGGAACUCGAAAAAAAAAUUGAAAAAUUUAAAAAGAAAUAUUUUAUAACUUUUAUAACUAUAACUCGAAAAGUUUUAAAAGGAAAAACAAAAUUAUUUCGAAGAGUUUCAAAAGAAACCAAAAAAUGGCUUAUAAAAAAUAUUCUAUUUCUAAAAAAAAUAAAAAAAGAACUUUCAAACAUAAAUCCAAUUGUAUUAUUUAGAUUCAAAGAAAUAUCUGAAUCGAAUGAAACGAAAAAAGAAAAAGAUUAUCUAAUUAGUAAUCAAAUAAUUAACGAAUCAUUUAGUCAAAUUGAAUCUGGAAAUUGGCCAAAUUCUUCACUGAUAGAAACCAAAAUGAAGGAUUUGACUGAUAGAACAAGUACAAUAAAAAAUCAAAUAGAAAGAAUUACAAAAGAGAAAAAGAAAGUAACUCCAGAAAUAGACAUUAGUCCUAAAUCGCCAAAAAAUAUUUUCCAAAUAUUAAAAAAAAGAAAUACUCGAUUAAUAUGUCAAUUCCAUUAUUUUAGAAAAUUAUUCAUUCAAAGAUUAUACAUCGAUCUAUUUUUAUCUAUCAUUAAUAUUACAAGAAUUAAUACACAACUCCGUCUUAAAUCAACAAAGAAAUUGAUUGAGAAAUACAUUUCCAAUAAUGAAAUAAAUCAAGAAAAAAUUAAUAAUAAAAACAAAAUUAACUUUAUCUUUAUUUCGACUAUAAAAAAGUCACUUUAUAAUAUUUAUAAUAUUAGUAAGAAAAAUUCACAUAGUUUUUUUGAUUUAUCCUACUUGUCACAAGCAUAUGUAUUUUACAAAUUAUCACAAACCCAAGUUAUUAAUUUGUCUAAAUUUAAAUCUGUUCUUCAAUAUAACAGAACGUCUUUUUUCCUUAAGACUAAAAUAAAGGACUAUUUUAGAACACUAGGAAUAUUUCAUUCUGAAUUAAAACAUAAAAAACCUCAGAGUUAUAGAAUCAAUCAAUGGAAAAACUGGUUAAGACGGCAUUAUCAAUACGAUUUAUCUAAGAUUAGAUGGUCUAGAUUAAUGCCAAAAAAAUGGAGAACUGGGGUUAAUCAAAGUUGUAUGGCUCAAAAUAAAAAUAGAAACUUAAACAAAUGGAAUUCAUAUGAAAAAGACCAAUUAAUUCAUUACAAAAAAGAAAAUGAUUCUGAACUCUAUUCAUUAUCAAACCAAAAAGAUAAUUUUAAAAAAUGUUAUAGAUAUGAUCUUUUAUCAUAUAAAUCGAUUAAUUAUGAAAAUAAAAGUUACUCAUUUAUUUCUAGAUUACCCUUUCAAGUAAAUAAGAACUUCGAAAUUUCUUAUAAUUCCAACACGCCCAAACACAACCCUUUUGAUAUGCCCGACAAUCUUCAUAUCAAUAAUUAUCUAAUAAAAGGCAAUCUUCUACAUCUACAUAUAGAAAGAAAUCUCGAUAGAAAAUAUAGAAAAUAUUUUGAUUGGAAAAUUCUCCAUUUUUCUGUUAGACAAAAAGGAGAUAUUGAGGCCUGGGUUAAGAUCGAUACCAACAGUAAUCGAAAUACUAAAAUUGGUAUUAAUAAUUAUGAAAUAAUUAAUAAAAAAGGACUUUUUUAUCUUACAACUCAUCAAAAUCCAGAAAAAACUAAAAAAAAUUCGAAAAAAGACUUUUUUGAUUGGAUGGGAAUGAAUGAAAAAAUAUUUAAUCGUCCCAUAUUGGAUAUGGAAUUUUGGUUCUUCCCAGAAUUUGUACUACUUUAUAAUGUAUAUAAAAUAAAACCGUGGAUUAUACCAAGCAAAUUACUUCUUUUAAAUUUGAAUACAAAUGAAAAUGUUAGUAAAAAUCAAAAUAUCAAUAAAAACAACAAAAAAAACUUUUUUCUACCAUCAAAUAAAAAAAUAAAGAAUCGAAUUCAAGAAGCAAAAGAACCCGCAAGUCAAGGAAAAAGAGAGCGUGGAUCAGAUAUAGAAAACAAAGGAAAUCUGGGCCCUGUUUUCUCAAAACAUCAAAACGAUCUUGAAAAAGAUUACGCGGAAUCAAACACAAAGAAGGGUAAAAAUAAAAAACAAUACAAAAGCAACACGGAAGCAGAACUAGAUUUGUUCUUGAAACGUUAUUUGCUUUUUCAAUUGAGAUGGAACGAUACUUUGAAUCAAAGAAUAAUCGAAAAUGUAAAGGUAUAUUGUCUCCUGCUUCGACUGAUAAACCCAAACAAAAUUGCUAUAUCGUCAAUUCAAAGGAGAGAAAUGAGUUUGGAUAUAAUGCUGAUUCAGGCGAAUUUACCUCUUACAGAAUUGAUGAAGAAGGGGUUAUUGAUUAUCGAACCUAUUCGAUUGUCUGUAAAAAAUAAUGGACAAUUUAUUAUGUAUCAAACCGUAGGUAUUUCAUUGGUUCAUAAAAGUAAACACCAAACUAAUCAAAGAUACCGAGACCAAAGAUAUGUUGAUAAAAAUCAUUUUGAUUUGCUUGUUCCUGAAAAUAUUUUAUGGUCUAGACGUCGUAGAGAAUUGAGAAUUCGAAGUUUUUUUAAUUCUUUGAAUUGGAAUGGCGUCGAUAGAAAUUCAGUAUUUUCCAAUGAAACUAAUGUAAAAAACUGGAGUAAAUUUUUGGAUGAAAGGAAACCUCUUUAUAAAGAUAAAAAUGAAUUAAUUAAAUUAAAGUUCUUUCUUUGGCCUAAUUAUCGAUUAGAAGAUUUAGCUUGUAUGAAUCGUUAUUGGUUUGAUACCAACAAUGGUAGCCGUUUCAGUAUCUUAAGGAUACAUAUGUAUCCACGAUUGAAAAUUAAUUGAUAUUACUAUAUACCCUGUCUCGUAUAGAGUAUCUGAAAGAAAACAAAUGCACACAUGCCUUGUCUUACAUCUCAUUCGAAUCUAAUUCGAGUAGACGAUACUAAAUCAAUAAGGUAUCGAUUAGAUCUAGAAAUGAAUCAACGGAAUCUUCUUCAUUUUCGGAUUUUAGGUUUAAAUUAUUCGCUUUUGUGAAUGAAAAAAACGUACCUACCAACUUUUUCUUUUUGGAUUCCUAUCUGAAUCAAAUUUUAAAUUUGAUUAAUUUAUUGGAAUUGAUAAAAUUAGGGGUUCAUAAAGAAAUUAAGUCUAUAUACCACGUUCAAAUUACUGGCAUUAUUAUUACUGAUCGAUAAAAUUCGAUAAAAUCCAUAUCUGUAAAAUAAAGAAAGGGGAAAUUCAUUUAUGGUAAAAAAUUCUGUCAUUUCAGUUAUUUCUCAAGAAGAAAAGAGAGGAUCUGUUGAAUUUCAAGUAUUCAAUUUCACCAAUAAGAUACGGAGACUUACUUCACAUUUAGAAUUGCACAAAAAAGACUAUUUAUCUCAGAGAGGUUUGAAGAAAAUUUUGGGAAAACGUCAACGACUGCUAGCUUAUUUGGCAAAAAAAAAUAGAGUACGUUAUAAAGAAUUAAUUAAUCAGUUGGACAUUCGAGAGACAAAAACUCGUUAAUUUGAUUAAUUUGAAGAGUCAUUUCGUUUUCACUUAUAUGUUUCGAUUAAAUUUUGAUGAACUUCUUUUCACUUUCAGUAAUUCAUGGAAGAAUGAAUCGUUAAAAAACUUAUGACUGCACCAACUACAAGAAAAGACCUCAUGAUAGUCAAUAUGGGGCCUCAGCACCCAUCAAUGCACGGUGUUCUUCGACUCAUCGUUACUCUAGAUGGUGAAGAUGUUGUCGACUGCGAACCAAUAUUGGGUUAUUUACAUAGAGGGAUGGAGAAAAUUGCGGAAAACCGAACAAUUAUACAAUAUUUACCUUAUGUAACACGUUGGGAUUAUUUAGCUACUAUGUUCACAGAAGCAAUAACCAUAAAUGGACCCGAACAAUUAGGCAAUAUUCAAGUACCUAAAAGGGCUAGCUAUAUCAGAGUCAUUAUGUUGGAGUUGAGUCGGAUCGCUUCUCAUUUGUUAUGGCUCGGUCCUUUUAUUGCGGGUAUUUGGUGGCAGACCCCCUUCUUCUAUAUUUUUCCCGAAAGAGAAUUGAUAUAUGACCUAUUCGAAGCUGCUACCGGUAUGCGAAUGAUGCAUAAUUAUUUUCGUAUUGGAGGAGUGGCUGCCGAUCUACCCUAUGGCUGGGUAGAUAAAUGUUUGGAUUUUUGCGAUUAUUUUUUAACAGGGGUUGCUGAGUAUCAAAAACUUAUUACCCGGAAUCCUAUUUUUUUAGAACGAGUUGAAGGCAUAGGCAUUAUUGGGCAAGACGAGGCAUUAAAUUGGGGUUUAUCGGGACCAAUGCUACGAGCUUCCGGAAUAGAAUGGGAUCUUCGUAAAGUUGAUCAUUAUGAGUCUUACGACGAAUUUGAUUGGCAGGUUCAAUGGCAACGAGAAGGGGAUUCAUUAGCUCGUUAUUUAGUACGAAUCGGUGAAAUGACAGAAUCCAUAAAGAUUAUUCAACAGGCUCUGGAAGGAAUUCCAGGAGGGCCUUACGAAAAUUUAGAAAUCCGACGUUUUGACAGAUUAAAAGAUCCUGAAUGGAAUGAUUUUGAAUAUCGGUUUAUUAGUAAAAAACCUUCUCCAACUUUUGAAUUGUCGAAACAAGAACUUUAUGUGAGAGUUGAAGCCCCAAAAGGAGAAUUGGGAAUUUUUAUCAUAGGAGAUCAGAGCGUUUUUCCUUGGAGAUGGAAAAUUCGCCCACCAGGUUUUAUCAAUUUGCAAAUUCUUCCUCAGUUAGUUAAAAGAAUGAAAUUGGCUGAUAUUAUGACAAUACUAGGUAGCAUAGAUAUCAUUAUGGGAGAAGUUGAUCGUUGAAAUGAUAAUUGAUACAACAGAAAUAGAGACUAUCAAUUCUUUUUCCAAAUUGGAAUCCUUAAAAGAAGCCUAUGGGAUCAUAUGGAUGCUUGUCCCUAUUUUGACUCUUGUGUUAGGAAUCACAAUAGGUGUACUAGUAAUUGUUUGGUUAGAAAGAGAAAUAUCUGCGGGAAUACAACAACGUAUCGGACCUGAAUAUGCCGGCCCUUUAGGAAUUCUUCAAGCUUUAGCAGAUGGGACAAAACUACUUUUGAAAGAGAACCUUAUUCCAUCUACAGGAGAUACUCGUUUAUUCAGUAUCGGACCAUCCAUAGCAGUAAUAUCUAUCUUUCUAAGUUAUUCAGUAAUUCCUUUUAGCGAUCACCUUGUUCUAGCCGAUCUUAGUAUUGGUGUUUUUUUAUGGAUUGCCAUUUCAAGUAUUGCUCCCGUUGGACUUCUUAUGUCGGGAUAUGGAUCAAAUAAUAAAUAUUCCUUUUUAGGUGGUUUACGGGCAGCUGCCCAAUCAAUUAGUUAUGAAAUACCAUUAGCUCUAUGUGUGUUAUCAAUAUCUCUACGUGUGAUUCGGUGAGACCUAAAAUUUCUCCAAAUUCUUUUCUUUCUAGAAACUCUAGAAACAAGGAUAAAAAGAUUUGAUUGACUAUAUAUAUUUUAUAUUUUAAUUUUUCUUCAGCAUUUGAGUUGAUGAACUAAACCAGAUAGUUAUAUGAGUGAAAGAAAACGGCUUCUAAAUUUGCAGUAAAAAGGUUGAGUCUCAUUUCCUAUGUACAAGAAUCAAAUGGUGAAAAAAGUAAACAUACGCAAGAGAGAUUGUUUACCCCAAGAUUGAUGAAUUGUCAUGAUAGCUUGAAGCGGGUUCAAAAGAUCAACUGUAUCAACUUUAUGGGGUUUUUACUGUCUAUUACCAUAGAUGGAUUUCCACAACGAGAGGUUGAAAGCAAAAAUGAGUGGAUGGUUAGGAAGACCAAGAUACACAAAGGAUUAGUAAUUGAGAUUAUGGAAGUUAUCCAAGAGGAUAUUUCUGUACAUAAAAGGAAUUCGAAUUGGGGCUUUGCGUUCGUAGAAAUGAUCAAGAAGUACUCCCCAUGAUUCUGAUCCAGAGUAUGUUCCUAUCCACUUAGUAAGUAAAUAACUAUCAAGAACGAAGUAAUCUUUUACUUUGGUUAAAGAAAGGCCCUUUUUCUGAGAAAGGAGAAUAGGAAUGAAAUAAAAUAAAUCGAAAUAGAAAGAAAAGAAUCAAAUUGCAAAAGCAAAAAGGGGGGAUGUCUUUUUUUUUUUUAUUCUUUCUUUCCUAUAAUUAAAUUUUUAUUUCGAUUUAGAGAGAGAAAAUUUUUGUCAUGAUUCAUGAACUAAUGGACUCUCUAAUUUUUUUCGUAAUUGAAAAUUCGAAGUUGAAAUGUAUAUAGGAUAUUGCUAUAAAGCGCAUUUUAUUUAAUGAUAAGGUUAUUAAUCAACAAAGAAAAAUUAAAAUUCUUAAAAGAUGAGAUCAAUUCAGAAGCACUUAUUUAUUAGUUUUAAAUAUAGCAGACAGAAUUCCAUUGGUCUAAUUUAGGACCUUAGGAUAGAUUUUGACUCUAUCUGACAAACAUAUCAAGAUAAAGAGUAGGAAAGGGCCCUUAGAUUUAUUUGUGACCUCUGAGGAGCCGUAUGAGGUGAAAAUCUCACGUACGGUUCUGUAAUAGCGAUGGGCACAGUGAUGUUAUCAUCGACUAUGAUUAUCUAACAGUUCAAGUACAGUUGAUAUAGUGGAAGCGCAGUCAAAAUAUGGUUUUUGGGGGUGGAAUUUGUGGCGUCAACCCAUCGGGUUUAUCGUUUUUCUAAUUUCUUCUCUAGCCAAGUGUGAAAGAUUACCUUUUGAUUUACUAGAAGCAGAAGACGAAUUAGUAGCAGGGUAUCAAACCGAAUAUUCAGGUAUCAAAUUUGGUUUAUUUUACAUUGCUUCAUAUCUGAAUCUACUAGUUUCUUCAAUUUUGGUACCAGUUCUUUACUUGUGUGGAAUCUUUCUAUUCCGUACAUAUUUGUUCCUGAGCUAUUUGGCAUAAAUAAAAGGGGUAAAGUCUUUGGAACACUAAUUGGUAUCUUUAUCACAUUAGCCAAAACUUAUUUGUUUUUGUUCAUUCCUAUUGCAACAAGAUGGACUUUACCGAGGCUGAGAAUGGACCAACUAUUAAAUCUUGGGUGGAAAUUUCUUUUACCUAUUUCUCUAGGUAAUCAAUUAUUGACAACCUCGUCCAACUUCUUUCACUAUAAAAGACCACAAUAUUCGAGAUUCAUGACUUGUCUCAAACAAGAGAAAGAAACAAGCAUAAAAUCUUUUUUUAUAGAUAUUCUAAAUAUGCUCCCUAUAAUAACUAAAUUCAUAAAUUAUAGUCAACAAAUAAUACGAGCCGCCAGAUACAUCGGCCAAGGUUUCAUGAUUACCCUAUCCCACGCAAAUCGUUUACCUGUAACUAUUCAAUACCCCUACGAAAAAUUGAUCACACCGGAACGUUUUCGAGGCCGAAUACACUUUGAAUUUGAUAAAUGUAUUUCUUGUGAAGUAUGUAUGCGUGUAUGUCAUAUAGAUUUACCCAUUGUUGAUUGGAAGUUGGAAACUGAUAUUCAAAAGAAAUGAUUACUUAAUUACAGUAUUGAUUUUGGAAUCUGUAUAUUUUGUGGUAAUUGCGUUGAGUAUUGCCCAACAAAUUGUUUAUCAAUGACCGAAGAAUAUGAACUUUCUACUUAUGAUCGUCACGAAUUGAAUUAUAAUCAAAUCGCUUUGGGUCGCUUACCAAUGUCAGUAAUUGAUGAUUACACAAUUCGAACAGUUUCGAAUUUACUUCAAAUAAACAAUGAAUAAAUCCCUAAUUUGAUUCGAAAAAAAUUACGAAUUACGAAGGCUUAGUUCGUAUCUAAAAGAAUGAGAUUUUUGCUUGGUCAAUUCAAACUAGUGGUUGCUUAAUGAGACUCCUAGCUUAAUUUAGAUUGAAAACAAAACGGAUUUCUAUAUUAUAAUAGUAAUGGUUUUAAAGUAGAUAAAUGAUAUCAAAAAUAGAUAGGUUUAAACUACUCUUUCGACGAAUAAAGAAUUGAUAGUGGUCCAAUAAAAUAAAAACAUCUACGUCAAUUCAUACCCAUUACAAUUUCAUUCAAUUAACAAUUUAAAAGUAUCAUAAAAAAUAGAAAAACUUCUUUUUUCCUGGUCAGGUCAAUAAAGUCAUGAAAUUCUUCGUUUUUGAUUUUUUAUAAAAAAUGGAUUUAUCUGAACCAAUACAUGAUUUUCUUUUAGUCUUUCUAGGAUCGGGUCUUAUAUUAGGGGGUCUAGGAGUGGUAUUACUUCCCAAUCCAAUUUAUUCUGCCUUUUCCUUGGGGUUGGUUCUUUUUUGUACAUCGUUAUUCUAUAUUCUAUCUAACUCCUAUUUUGUAGCUGCUGCGCAGCUACUUAUUUACGUAGGAGCUAUAAAUGUUUUAAUCAUUUUUGCUGUGAUGUUCAUGAAUGGUUCAGAAUAUUACAAAGAUUUUCAUCUUUGGACCGUAGGAGAUGGAAUUACUUCGAUGGUUUGUAUAAGUCUUUUUAUUUCACUAAUUACUACUAUUUCAGAUACGUCAUGGUACGGUAUUAUUUGGACUACAAGAUCAAACCAGAUUAUAGAGCAAGAUUUUCUAAGUAAUAGUCAACAAAUUGGAAUUCAUUUAUCAACAGAUUUUUUUCUUCCAUUUGAACUUAUUUCAAUAAUCCUUUUAGUUGCUUUAAUAGGUGCAAUUGCUGUAGCUCGGCAAUAAAAAAUUUCUAUUAAAACUUGGAAUUCAAAUAAAAUUUUGUUCUGUCUUAUCGCAUUCAUUUUCCUUCAAUUAUAUUUCAAUUUCAGCUGUAUAAAUAGAAAGACUUUAGGUCAAUCUAGUACCAAUAUAUUUCGUUGUUCCAUACUUGUUAUAUACUAGUCAAUUAAAUUGGUUGAACUGUUGUUCAUAUUGAAAGGAGCCGAGAUUGAUAAGGAGCUGUUUAAUGAUUCUUGAGCAUGUACUUGUUUUGAGUGAAUAUGGAGAGAUGGAAAUAGAAUCGAAAUAUAGAAUUUUUUUUUUAAUUUAAUUCUGCAAACAAAUAGGACGGUGGGGAAAAUCAAACUCCCCACCUUGGAAUAAAAACGAUUUUUAUUCUUUUGUCAACAAAAAAGUUAUUAUUCAGUGAAUAGUANNNNNNNNNNNNNNNNNNNNNNNNNNNNNNNNNNNNNNNNNNNNNNNNNNNNNNNNNNNNNNNNNNNNNNNNNNNNNNNNNNNNNNNNNNNNNNNNNNNNNNNNNNNNNNNNNNNNNNNNNNNNNNNNNNNNNNNNNNNNNNNNNNNNNNNNNNNNNNNNNNNNNNNNNNNNNNNNNNNNNNNNNNNNNNNNNNNNNNNNNNNNNNNNNNNNNNNNNNNNNNNNNNNNNNNNNNNNNNNNNNNNNNNNNNNNNNNNNNNNNNNNNNNNNNNNNNNNNNNNNNNNNNNNNNNNNNNNNNNNNNNNNNNNNNNNNNNNNNNNNNNNNNNNNNNNNNNNNNNNNNNNNNNNNNNNNNNNNNNNNNNNNNNNNNNNNNNNNNNNNNNNNNNNNNNNNNNNNNNNNNNNNNNNNNNNNNNNNNNNNNNNNNNNNNNNNNNNNNNNNNNNNNNNNNNNNNNNNNNNNNNNNNNNNNNNNNNNNNNNNNNNNNNNNNNNNNNNNNNNNNNNNNNNNNNNNNNNNNNNNNNNNNNNNNNNNNNNNNNNNNNNNNNNNNNNNNNNNNNNNNNNNNNNNNNNNNNNNNNNNNNNNNNNNNNNNNNNNNNNNNNNNNNNNNNNNNNNNNNNNNNNNNNNNNNNNNNNNNNNNNNNNNNNNNNNNNNNNNNNNNNNNNNNNNNNNNNNNNNNNNNNNNNNNNNNNNNNNNNNNNNNNNNNNNNNNNNNNNNNNNNNNNNNNNNNNNNNNNNNNNNNNNNNNNNNNNNNNNNNNNNNNNNNNNNNNNNNNNNNNNNNNNNNNNNNNNNNNNNNNNNNNNNNNNNNNNNNNNNNNNNNNNNNNNNNNNNNNNNNNNNNNNNNNNNNNNNNNNNNNNNNNNNNNNNNNNNNNNNNNNNNNNNNNNNNNNNNNNNNNNNNNNNNNNNNNNNNNNNNNNNNNNNNNNNNNNNNNNNNNNNNNNNNNNNNNNNNNNNNNNNNNNNNNNNNNNNNNNNNNNNNNNNNNNNNNNNNNNNNAUAAUUCAGUAUUUGUUUCAGUUAUUAAAACCUUAUGGUGUAUCAGUUAUUCUACCAUAUUUAUGGUUAUGUUAUUCAGUGCUCACAGCAAGUACCAUCUCAUUGGUUAGAUUGUGAUCCCUCGAGACUGUAAGCACCGUUUGACGCCCAGGGUGUACUCUUAAGGCAUUACAAACUUGGUAUUAGAACCAAGUUUUAAAAUUUUCAAGAAAGUUUGAAAGUUGUGUCAAGUAGAGUCUUGUGAAUGGGUAUGUAGCGCGCCACACUUAUGGGUAGGAGGGUUUAAGGCGUUUAGGAAAAGUUUCUCUUCUUUUAGUUAUCAUGCUGUGUAAGUAAGCAUGAGCUUAAGUUAAACUCUCAGUCUAAUUCAUUUCUUCCUUCUAUUUAUGAAACAUGCCUCCCAAAAAGAAUAACAGAAGAGGAUCAGGAAACUAGCCAGAACCUCCGCCCAUCCAAGCAGAUCCUUUAGAUGUUUAUGUAUCUCACACAGAAUUCAGAGUUAUGUUCACCACUCUAGCGAACUCUGUAGUAUCCCAGAAUGAACAGACAACUGCUAUUCUGGCCAACCCAGUGGACAAUACUGCUGUAGUUAGGAUUUGGGAAUUUGCCUGAAUAAAUCCUCCUUUCUUCACGGGAUCCAUGUCUGAAGAGGAUCCAUAAGAAUUAUUAGAUAUGGUUCAGAAGGUAACAGAUAUUAUGGGGGUAACAUCUAGUAAGAGUGUUGAGUUGGCUGCAUAUCAGUUGCUCAUACUUGGUUUAAGCAGUGAAAGGUUGAUAGGGGCGUUGAUACAGGGCCUAUAGAAUGGGAAAAGUUUGCCAUAGCUUUCUUAGAUAGAUUCUUCCCAUUGGAGUUGAGGGAGGCCAAGAUGUUAGAAUUUAUUAACUUGAGGCAAGACAACAUGAGCGUGGAGGAGUAUUCCCUUAAGUUUACUAAGUUAUCUGGAUAUGCUCCUUAUGUGGUAGCUGGCAGCAGAUCCAAGAUAAGUAAGUUUUGUCUGGUGUGUCCGAUAGUAUGGUCAAAGAGUGUUGGAUGCUGAUUAGGGAAAUGCACUUGUCUAGGUUGAUAGUUCAUGCUCAAAAAAUUAAGGAGCAGAAGAUUAAGGAGAGAGAGAGAAAAUAAGAGGGCUAGAAUAGGUAGUUUUAAUUUUAGUUAGCCAAGGUUAGAAGGUGGUAACUGUCCCAGAUUCUAUCAGAGGUACUCAUCCACAGCGCCCUCUUUAGCCAGUGCCCCAGUACCCAAAUUUAGAAAUGAUAAUUGGGAUAGGGCAACAGGCUCUAAGUCCCAAGGCAACGUAAACAGUGCCUAUACGAAUCCUCUAUGUUAGAAAUAUGCAGUCACCAUCAGGGUGAGUGUAAAGAUGGCAGUAAUGUGUGUUUUGGAUAUGUUAAGCCAUGCCAUCGGAUUCGGGAGUAUCGGGUAGUUGCUCAAAGAGGUAAGGAGUUAUGCCAAUAGGGCCAGUCCAAUCAGUCGUCAGUUCCAUUCGGUCGCCCCACUCGGCAGGGUGCUACUUCCAAUACUACUAGUGGUCAGCAUCCGAACAGAUUAUAUGCUCUUCAGUCCCGCUAAGAUCAGGAAAACUCUCUUGAUGUAGUUACUAGUAAGUUGCAGAUCUUUCACUUACAUGUUUAUACUUUACUAGAACGUAGAGAUUCUCUUUCUUUUGUAACUCCUUAUAUAGCUGUGAACUUUGGAGUCAGUCCCAAAACUAUAGCAGAUCCCUUUCUAGUAUCUACCCAGUGGGUGUUUCCAUUGUAUCCAGGCAGGUAUACAGGAACUAUCCGGUUACAAUAUCUUAGAAAGUUACUUCAGUUGAUCUCAUGGAGUUAGAGAUGACGGAUUUUGAUGUCAUUCUAGGCAUGGAUUGGCUCCACUCAUGCUAUGCCUCGGUUGAUUAUAGAAACAAAAUAGUUCACUUUUAGUUCCCAAAUGAACCAGUCCUUGAAUGGAGGGGUACUACUACAAAUCUUAGGGGUUAACUUGUUUCAUACCUUAGAGCGAGAAAAAUGAUAUCCAAGGGAUGUAUUUAUCAUCUUAUGCGAUUUAAAGACUCUAGGUUAGAAACUCCAACUCUUGAGUCAGUUUCAGUAGUCAGAGAAUUUCCAGAUGUGUUCCCUGAAGAUCUUCUCAGAGUUCCUGCCAAAAGGGAAAUCAACUUUGGAAUAGACCUUCUUCCAGAUACUCAGUGCAUAUUUAUUCUGCCAUACAGAAUGGCUCCAACUAAACUCAAAGAACUAAAAGAACAGUUGAAGGAUCUCCUAGACAGGGGAUUCAUCAGGCCCAUCAUCUCUUCAUGGGGCGCACCAAUUCUAUUUGUGCAUAAGAUUAAUGUUUCUCUCAAAAUGUGUAUUGAUUACUGUCAGUUGAACAAAGUCACCAUCAAGAAUAAAUAUCCACUUCCUAGAAUCGAUGAUUUGUUUGACCAACUUCAGGGAGCCAGUUAUUUUUCUAAGAUAGACCUCAGAUCAGGCGAUCAUUAAGUCAUAGUAAGAGAGUGUGACAUUCCGAAUAUAGCUUUCCAAACUCAGUAUGGUCACUUUGAAUUUCUAGUCAUGUCCUUUGGUCUUAUAAAUUCCCCAACAGCUUUCAUGGACUUAAUGAAUCGAGUGUUCAAGCAGUACUUAGACAUGUUCAUUAUAGUCUUUAUUGAUGACAUUCUUGUUUACUCCCAUAGCGAAAAUGAUCAUGCAGACUACCUAAGAAUCAUACUUCAGACUCUUAGAACCCAUCAGUUGUUCGCCAAAUUUAGCAAGUGACAAUUUUUGCUAAGGUCAGUAGCAUUCCUUGGUCAUAUUAUUUCCGGUGAUGGCAUUAGAGUUAAUCUUCAAAAGACUGAAGCAGUGAGAAACUGGCCCAGACCCAUUUCUCCUUCAGAUAUUAGGAGUUUCUUGGGUUUGGUUGGCUAUUACUGUUGGUUUAUUGAAGGGUUUCCAUCUAUUGCAUCCCCUAUGUCCAGAUUGACUCAGAAGAAAAUCAAGUUUUAAUGGUCAGAUUCCUGCAAAAAGAGUUUUCAGGAGUUGAAGACUCGACUCACCUCAGCCCCAGUUCUUACUUUGUCAGAUAGUUCAGAUGGGUUUGUUGUGUACUGUGAUACAUCUAGAGUAGGUUUGGGUUGUGUCCUCAUGCAGAGAGGUAAGGUCAUAGCCUAUGCCUCUAGAUAACUUAAUCCCCAUGAGAAAAAUUAUCCUACUCAUGAUCUUGAGCUAGAAGCUGUAGCGUUUUCCUUACAGAUUUGAAAGCAUUACUUAUAUGGGGUGCAUGUUGAUGUGUUCACAGAUCACAAAAGCUUGUAGUAUGUGUUCUCUCUAAAAGACUUGGAUUUGCAUCAGAGAAGGUCGUUAGAGUUAUUAAAAUAUUAUGACAUGAGUGUUCUAUAUCAUUCGAGCAAGGCUAAUGUAGUGACUAAUCCUCUUAAUAAAUUGUCUAUGGGUAAUGUUGCUCAUGUUGAGGAUGGUAAGAAGAAGUUAGCUCAGGAAGUCCAUCAGCUUGCCUGACUAGGUGUCCCCUUAGUCGAUUCAGCAGAAAGUAGUGUAUGGGUGCAGAGUAGCUCAGAAUCAUCUCUAGUUUCUGAGGUGAAGGAAAAGAAGGAUAGAGAUCCCAAUCUAGUUAAGUUGAAAAAAUCAGUCAGAGACCAGAAAGUAGAGGUUUUCUCCUAAGGGGGAAAUGGCGUGCUACGUUGUUAGGGUCGGCUAUAUGUGCCUGGUGUAGAUUACUUGAGACAACAAAUUCUUGCAGAAGCUCAUGGUGCGCAUUACUCUAUUCAUCCAAGGGCCACUAAGAUGUACCGUGAUUUAUGGGAGAUCUAUAGGUGGAGUGGAAUGAAGAGAGAUAUUGCAGAGUUUGUAGCUAAGUGCUCUAUAUUUCAGCAAGUUAAGAUUGAGUACCAGAAGCCUAGUGGGUCCAUACAGGAGUUCAGUAUUCCCACAUGGAAGUGGGAGGAAGUGAACAUGGAUUUUGUAACGAGUUUUCCCCAUACCCAUCAUCAGCAUGAUUCUAUUUGGGUCAUCAUGGACAGGAUGUCCAAAUCAGCUUAUUUUUUUCCAGUCCAUACCUCUUAUUCAGCCGAGGACUAUACCAAACUCUAUCUCAAAAAUUUGGUUAGGUUACAGGGUGUUCCCUUAUCUAUCAUCUCAAAUGGAGGUACCCAGUUUACCUGUCAUUUCUGGAAAGCAUUCCAAAAGGGUCUUGGUACCCAAGUCCACCUUAGUACAACUUUAUACCCUUAGAUAGACGGUCAAGUAGAAAGGACCAUUCAGACUCUUGAAGAUAUGCUGAGAGCAUGCGUAGUUGAUUUUAAAGGUAGUUGGGUUGACCACUUGCCUUUGAUUGAAUUCACAUAUAAUAACAGUUAUCAUUCCAGUAUUUAGAUGGCUAUAUUUGAAGCUUUCUAUGGUAGGAGAUGUAGAUCUUUGAUUGGUUGGUUUAAAGUAGGUGAGGCCGCAGUAGUAGGACCUGACUUGGUAUUCUAUGCCUUAGAGAAGGUUCGGUUGAUUAGAGAAAGUCUUAGAGCAGCUCAGAGCCGACAGAAAUCAUAUGAAGAUGUAAGGAGAAAGGAUCUCGAGUUUGAGGUCGGUGAUUUUGUGUACUUGAAAAUAUCUCCCAUGAAGAUGGUAAUGAGGUUUAGCAAGAAAGAGAAACUAAGUCCCCGAUAUGUCGUCCCUAUAGAAUUCUCAGUCAUUUCAAAAAAGUAGCUUAUGAGCUUGAGUUGCCUUUAGAUCUAGAUUCAGUACACCCAGUGUUUCAUGUCUUAUUGUUGAAGAAGUUUAUUGGUGAUCCAGCUGUAGUUGUUCCCCUAGAAAACGUAGAUAUUCAAAACAGUCAUUCCUAUGAGGAAGUUCCAGUCGAAAUUCUUAAUCAUCAAGUUCGUAGACUAAGGAACAAAGAAGUUCCACUAGUCAAAGUUCUUUGGCAGAAUCAGUCUAUUGAGGAAGCCACUUAGGAAACAAAAGUAGAUAUGCAGACCAAGUACCCUCAUCUUUUCUCCGCAAAUUCAGAUUCGGUUUGAGGUACUAAUCUUCUUAAUAUUUCUCUCUAUCAUGCUCAGUUUCAGUUGCACAUCAUGUUCAUGUCAGUGGUGCAUUUACAAAUCAGUUCAGUCAUGCAUUCCAUGCAUCAGAUAUGCAUGUUCAAUGUGUAAUCUCAUUCCAUCAGUUUUCCUUAGCUUAACCAGUCUCAUUCGAGGAUGAAUGAUCCCAAGGGGGAGAUAUUGUAAUAUCCUGUAUUUCCCUAGCAUAAUUUAAGUCCCAAUACAUGAGUAUUCAUAUAUAAAAUUUUCAAAAUACCUAUUAUUUUUCAGUUUAGAGCCUGCCAUUGCGUAGGAAAUUCAAUUAGCUUUCCACCGAUAUAAAAUCUGCCCAAAUCUGAUAAUCGGGUAAGAAGUUAUAGCGAUUUUAGGUUUUAGUCGUUAAACACCGUCAUUUUGGUCACUAGCUCAUCGUGGAGCAAGUCUAAAUGAUAAUUAUCAAUUUCUAGUAAGGGCCCAUGAUAUUUGCAUGUUGCGGCAAGGACCUAGUUCACAUUUGGCAAUUUCCAGUGAACCUCCGCGAUAAUGGCGCGUCGCGGAGGUGGCCAAAAUGGCAUUCUAAAAGCGUAGCGUGAUAGCUCCUCAUCGUGCCAAUGGACAAAAUAAGCAUUGUUGAUUUUCUAUUGCCCUAUGCGAUUGCACUGUGUCAUGCCAAAGCCAAAAAUCAGGAUCUUCAGUUUUCAGGCCAAAUUUUUAAAUUUUUAAAUUCAGUUUAGAGAAAUUUUUAAAACACAAGAUUUAACACCUAAGUGACCUAAAUAAUCAUCAUUUAUUAAAUUCCUCUCAAAAUUAAAGAUCCCCUUCUCAAGAACAAGAAACCCUAGCUCUUAAAUUCAAGACCAAAUCUCAAGAACUCAUCAUCAAUCCUCUCAAAUUCAUUAACCCAGGUAUGUUAGAUGUUCAUCCAUGGGUUCCUUUCACCCAUGGAGUCCAAGUAUCCUAUUUAAAUUGCAAAAUUAUGAUCUUUUCAAGUUAUCUUGAUUUUAAAUUAUGAUUAAACCAUGAAUUUCCAUGAAUCUUGUUCUAUACCAUGUUUUAGAAAAGUUGAUGUCUAUUACUACACUCCAUACGUUUGAAUAUUGUUGUCCACUAAUUUAAUUCAUGAUUUGUGAUAAUGGUAUUAAAGUUGUGCUUUACUACAAGCUUUAAACUAAUUCCCAUGCUCUAUAUACACCAUGCAUAUCAAGUGUUUGAUAAAAUGCUUACAAGAAUGAUUAUUUAAUAAAAUCCUUCCUGUUAUGUCCUCCAAGCUUUAGUGUCGUUUUACUACUAUCGAUUUUGAGUCCUGGGGGUAUUAAAUACCCAAAAAUAAUAGUUGUUUACUUUGUAUCAUCUCAGUAUCUUCAGAAUACAUUAUGAGCAUUACUAUAUAAGUUAGUUAAACUCAAAAAUAGUUGGUAACUCAGUGUCAUUAAGUUAGGAGUAGGAUUAAGCACCGAGUGAGUGUAGGGAUGGUGGAUUCCCCGUCAGAUAGGCAGAGUCGUUAGUAGCAGUCCCUAAAUUGCAGAACUACGUAGCCAGCAUAGGAUAUAAGAAGUUACCCAUCAGUAUAGGCUUGACUAUCUCACAGGGGUUACCCGUCAGAUUAGAUUUGACACCCUUCAUCCUUCAGGACAAUACAGUAUACCAGACCAGUGGAUCCACAUAUCCAGUGUUAGUACCCGUGGUAAGGUAUUAACAUCCUUCCAACUAGGGUUACAGUUUGGACCCCUAUUAGCUUAGAUUAGGACAUGUUGGUUAGAUGAUAGCUCCCACAGUCUCAGUCCAAUAAUCAGACCAGUAGUUCCGUCUCAAUGUUGUUUGACCAAGGAAUACAAUUAUCAGUUAUUUCAGUUUACAGAUUUUCAUUCAGUACAUGUUAUAUGCUUGGUCAUACAUCCCCGGUAUCUACAGACUUUUAUGCAUACACGGUAUUUACAGAUUUCACAAAUUUUUAGUAUCUACAAAUUUUAUGCUCUCUAUUCAGUACUCCAUGUUUUACAUGUACAUUCAGACAGUUAUUCUUCCUAUUUAUGAAAGCAUACAUGUCAUCCUACCUGAUUUAGCACACUAGUACAUUCAAAGGACUAAUCGCAUACCUUUUUCUUGUGCUAUAAUGUAUUAUAUCAUAGGUUCUAACGCCCAAUUCUCGAAUCGUGCUUACACUUCUCAGACUCUCAGCAGUAGCAGUGGUGUGUCCUCAUAUUUUGAGGACGGAUUAUUUUAUUUCAUGCUUUUAGUCUAGUAGUUAGUUGGAGUUAGUUGGUACCUGUCCCAUCAACUCACAGUUAUUUAGUUUAGAGGCUUUCAGACACUACAGUCAGUUAUUCAGUAUUCAGACUUCAGUUGACAUGCCAGGUAGUUAUUCAGUUUAUCUUAGAUUUCAGUAUUUAUUCAGACUCAUAUAGUUAUUUCUUCAUAUUCAUAAUUAAGUAUUUGUUGCAUUUAUUAAAACCUUAUGGUAUAUCAGUUAUUCUUCCGCAUUUAUGGUUAUGUUAUGCAUUGCUCACAGUAGUUACCAGCUCAUGGGUUAGCUUGUAGUCCCUUGGGACUGUAAGCACUAUGUGACGCCCAGGUUGUACUCUUAGGGCAUUACAAUCUUCAAAAGGAUUGGUUUCCAUCUCUAAGAAAGUCCAAAUUGAAGAAAAGGGGUGAUGGUCCCUUCCAAGUACUUGAGAAAAUCAAUGACAUCGCCUACAAGAUUGACCUUCCACCGAAAUACCAAGUGCAUAACACUUUCAACAUGUGUGAUCUCUCUCUAGUGAACGCGAUUGAGGAUUACCAAAUACUGAAUUUGAGGUCAAAUUCCUCUCAAGAUAGAGAGGAUGAUACGGGUAUACCUAGUUGUCUAACAAGUUCACAACCAUUCAUACGUAGCCAAGCUCGGGAGUUACAAAAACUCCAAGCUAUAUUCAUGCAAAUGGCCAUGUGUGAGUUGGUACUUGAGCCAUCCAAUGGUUUAAAUGUUUGUAAGUGUGUAGAGGAUCCUUGAAGUGUAAUACACUUACACUCCAAGGCCACCCCUUGGCAAGGGUAGUAUAGUCAUUGUUCUCUUAUUUUGUCGUGUAAUAAAAAUACAUAGUAUUAGGGUUAUUUGGAGUAGUUCAUUCAUGAUAUUUUGAGACAACAAAUACUUGUAAUAUUCUUUGAACUUCUCUCUUCCAUUGGAGAAUCUCAAAUCAAAAUCUCAGAAGUAGAGUGAUACUUGUGUUGUAUCUUGGCUAGAAACUAGGAUCUUAAGGUCAUAGAGUUCCUCUUGGUCCAAGUAAGAACUUGGUGUUAACAUCCUUUAAUCUUAGGGUCCUUUUCAUGUUAUUAGGGUUCUUAGAUUCUUGGAUGUUGUAUGUCAAGUUAUAUCCUUCUUUUGUAAUCUUGAGACAUUGUUGUUUGUAUCUUGAAGUAGUGAAGCCGUGUGGGGCCAAUUUUGAUUCACUACACUUGUUGCAAUCUUGUACUCUUAAAAAUCUGAUUUUUGUUGAAAUCUUGAAGUCUAGUGAAGCCGUGUGUGGCCUACUUCGAUUCACUAGCAUUGUUGUUGACAUCUUGUUGUUCUUGUUGUGGUUUGCUUCUUGUGUUUGAACUUGAUAUUAUAUCAAAAUGUGAAAGAGCGACCAACGGACUGAAGGAAAGAUUUUUAAGCAAUUAAUGAUGAUGUUGUCUAUUUCAAUGGAUAAAACUUGUAGAUGACUUUCAAGGCGUGAACACCAAGAGUCAAGUACCUAAAGAGUGCAAAAGCUUAACACCACAAUAGCCUCAAGCUAGAAAAUAUAAGGAAAUAAAAAUCUAACACAAAGUUAUAUAUGUUAGUUAAGGCGUCCACCCAUAACUCAUAUUGUUGUCAAGAUCACUGCUAAGAAAAUCAUUUUAUGUAAAUUCAUGUGAUACAUCAGGGACCAUCUUAUCUGAUACGUGUAUACUUGGGAACAAAUCUAAUAUGCCCUGUUUUCAAUAGUUUUUUAUGCAGAAAAUAGCUUAAACUACAGAAAAACAGCAGCUUGCAUCAAACUUGACCAAAUUACAGCACUAAAAUACUCAAAAAGACAUCAAACUGCAAAAAAAACUAUGUCAAACGUAUCACCAAACUGUGCCAAAAACAACAUUAAACUGCAGCACCAGACAACAACACCAGACCACCUAGAAUCAGCAUCAAACUUCAGAAAAAAACUGCACCAAAAACUACGCCAAACUACACAAAAACUGCAUCAAAAACGUCAACAAACUGCACAAAAAACAGCACAAAACUGCAACAUUUGACAACGACAUUAGAUCACAAAUAAUCAACACCAAACUUCAGAAAAAAGUUGCACCAAAAACUGCGCCAAACUUCACAAAAACUACACCAAAAAUGUCAAUAAGCAGCUUCAAAUUGUACAAAAAAAAGCACCAAACUACUCAAAAAAAACUGGACCAAAAAUAUAAAAGUCAGCUAAAAAUAGCAUCAAACCUCUAAAAAACGGCGACAAAACAUUAAGAAUUAACACUCAAACCUAAAGUUAUAUCAAAAAUUGAAUUGCACCAAACUACACCAAUCACAUGAGCACUUCAGUUUGCUAAAUUUAUAUUAGCUUGUCUAUCUGGAGCUCUUCUAACCUAUGAAAUAUAAUGAAUUAAGAAAAAAUCUUGGGGAAAUUUUAAUAUAAUGUUAACUAAAAUAUGGAUAAAUAAAAGAAAAAGGUAUUGGUAGCUUUGUACAAGGACAUGAUGAAGAUGAUUCUUGAUAUAGCGAGGUCACACUUUGAGAAUCUAUCUGCAACAAAUUGUACUUGUAAGUUCCUGUGUUAUGUACAAGCUUGUGGCAUGGACUGCAUCCUAAAUUUUUCUGCUUCCUUUUCAUUUUUGUCCUUCUUGUACCUACUUCUUCUGAUUUUUUUUCUUUCUUCUAAUUUUUUCCUUUAGUACUUUGUCUUACCAUUCAUGGAGGCAAAGGAGGAAUAUUAUCAUGUUGAGGCCACAUGUCCUGUCCAAUCGUAGAAUUCAUAGAUUCUUCUGUAGGUAUCCACCUUAUAACAAUCAUCAACAUAAGAAUUAAUUUCAUCAUAUUUAGCCCAGAUCAUUGUUAUGGCAUGCUUACAAGGUAUUCAUGUCAAAUCUCAUUUCCUGCAACUACAAUUUUUGUUUAGCAGAUCUACAGCCCAAAUGUAGGUUAUGCUAGCUCCUAUAAGCUCAUAUUCCCACUCAUUUGACUUUCUAGGAAUAUAUUCAGUAGUGGCAGCUUGUCUUUUGGGCAAGACAUCCUUAAUCCUAGGACAAAUAUCACCAGAACUCCACUUGGCAGAUUUAUCCCUAUAUGCUUCCAUUCUUGUCAUGAGCAUAUAUCAGAUUUUCUCAUGAAGAGUGAUAAUAGGUUUAUCCCUCGCAUCCAAUAUCAUGUUGUUAAAAUAUUCACACAUAUUAUUAGUAGGGUAUCACAUUUUACAUUUUCAAAAAAGUGAGAUCUAGAUCAUUCACUAGGUGACUUAUCUCUCAACCAAAUAGCAGCUUCGGGAUCCAAAUCAAAUACUUCAAUCGUACAUUCAUUAAACCACUUUACUGUAGUUGCGCUAGCAGCUUUCCAAAGCGCAUCUCUUAGUGUGUUACCAUCAAAUCCCACCUUCUUAAAAUUACUAUGCAAGUGUCUCACACAAAAUCUAUGAGCAAUAAAUGACAAUACCUCAUUAAAUGCUUCUAUCAAACCUUUUUUCUUAUCUGACAUAAAGGUCCACUGAGCUUCAUCAUCGAUCUCCAAACCAAGCUUCAGAUGAUUAAAAAAUCAUGCCCAUAACACAAUUUUCUUUCUCCACAAUUGCAUAUGCUAUUAGAUAGAUAUUAUUAUUAGGAUCAAGCCCAACGACAAUUAAAAAUUGAGUCCCAUAAUUUAGACCCCUGAGCCAAUAACCAUCCACUCCUACUAUCCUUCUGCAACCACUCUUGAACCCUUCCUUGCAAGCACUAAAGCAAAUAUAGAAUCUCUGAAAUCUUUUAGGCUUGUUGGGAUCCUCAUUUUCAACCAACUUCAUAUAAAUGAAAGUAUUUGGAUUUGUCCUUGCGAUUUCAUUGCAAUAGUUCCACAAUAACUUGAAUUGAUCAGAGAUAUCUCCAUCAAUCAUCGUACUUGCCUUUUCCUUUGCCCUUCUACAUUUAGAUGAUGUCACAUGUGUUAUUAACUAAAUACUAACAUGAUCUCUAAAAUUGGAGAUCUUCCAAUCCCUGUUGAUUUUAUGGCAUCAAGAAAGCUUCUAGCAAUGAACGAAGAUGUGAUCGUUUUAUUAAUAUGAUUCAAAUUUAUGCACUUGUGGAUGGGGUUAUAUGUCUUUAUUUGAAAAGCACUAUUUCUAUACAUCUUAGAAGCCAUAAUCUCACGGUCAUAAUCAGGAUAUUUCACACAAACUGCUCGAAAUCCUUUCCUUAUCAUUCUUGCUCCAUUUUAUAUACCUUCCUUGAUUGACUUCAUGAGUUGUCACAACAUUCUUAAACUCCUUUUUUCUUUUAAAUACCAAUUUAAGUGCCAAGGUUGGAUGUAGUCCAUCUAUCAUUGGAUUGGACUUAGAAAAGUUCGUGUUGUUUGAAUUAAAAUCACUUUUCAUGCUCUUGAAAGCUUCGAAAUUAACACAAUCAGAAUCUCCUUCUUCACGAGCCAUAUUUUUCCGCACUACUUCACUAACUUUAAAUACAUGCGCCCAAUUUUCAAUGCUUCCUAAUGUAUCACAUUCAUAUGUGAAAUCAUUAUCUGAGUCUUCAAAAUCCUCACCACUUGAAGAAUAUUCCGCCCUUCCACCUUUAUUGGUACCUCUAGCAGAUCGUUAAUUGUCACUUGAACUAUUUCUUUUUUGUUCUUUAUUAAAUAUUUUUUCGACAUUCAUUUCAAUGUAAGCGUCUAAAUGCUUAAAGAAAACCUCAGUUACUCUAUCUUCAGGAAUGUUUUUGAAUACUAAAUUAGAUUCCCAAUCAAUUGAAAUAAGCCUCAUCUUUUCACCCAAUCUACCAUGUGCCAAAAUGUGACUGAAUUAUUAACAUAUCCACAUAUCUAAUCUAUAAUGUUGAAUUGUGAUAAUUUUAUUUCUGAAACAUCAACAUAAUCAAUGAAUUUAACAUGACCCCCAAAAUAACGUCUUGUAGGUUGGUGCUUCAUAAUACCACCAUGGGUUACUUUGAUGUUGGCUUUUAAGGCAUCGUGUAUAGAAUCUGUGGAACAAAGAAAAAAUAGGAAGAAUUGAUUAUCAACUUUGUAACAGAUUGAUUAUCAAGUUUUUUACAGCAAAGCGUCAUGAAAAUAAAGAUUUAAACCCUAAAACCUCAUCAUAAAGAGGAGUUGUACCACCUUUUGCUCGUAAAAUCAUGAUUCUAAGCUUUCAAUAUUGGCGUCAAAUGAUAACAAUGAGGGAGAAGAAAGUAGCGAUAUAAAAAGUUAAAGAGCGAAAAUUGAUAAAAUUGUAGGAAAAAAUUAGUGGCAGAGAGAACCUCAUGGAGGUAUGAAUUCCCAUUAAUAUUAACGGUGUGGCUUGUAUAAAAAAUACACAAAGACUAUUUUUGGAUAGUUAAAAGACUAAAAUUAUUAAAUGUAAAUUUAAGGGACUAUUUUAAAUCUACUCUUAUAGAUAAGGGACCAUUUAUGCCCUUUUCUCCCCACUCCAACAACCAUCGCAGCCACCAUACACCCUAUUACUCAUAUGUCUUGGGUACCCCUCUAUUCAAAUCUCAAAUCAUCAUAAUUUGUUCAUUCCAACUCUUUUUGCAAUUCAAAAUCAGUGGUUUUCACUUAACUAUCUUCACCUAGAAGAAUAAAUUGAAGCUUAAAAUAACAAAAAUACAACCAAUUUCAUGUACAUGAAUAACUAAUUUCAUGUACACAUUGCAAACCUAGAAGUAUAAGCAUUGUGAAUCCACUAACUUCAGAUUUUGACAACUUACUAUUCUCUGGUUUUUUUGAGCUUUUCCGCUAAUGAGCUUCUAGAAGUACACUCCAACAACACAUUAUACAAAUUUUCACGAUUUUUGAACGAAUAGCUGGCACUGAAGCAUCAUACGAUUUUUGGGCAUAUAUUGUGUUCAUCAAAGAUUUUUUUCUCGUUCAAGAAGGGAAAUAGAGUGAUAAACCCAGAUUAUUUCCCCACCAUGGAUGGAAGAAAUUGAGUACUCUGAUUUCUAGUUAUUGCAAGAUUCAAAUUCUUAAAGCUUCCAUGACCAACACCUUUACUAAGAACCCAAUCCAUGGAGGUUCUUCACUAAUUUUGUAGCUUCUUUCUUUCUUCUUUCCAAAUUUAAAUGUGGAUUAAUUAAGUUGUGGGUUAAGUCCGGAUAAAUGAGGAAACUGGUAAUUUCAUAGAAAUUUGAGUAUUUUGGAUGGAUUUGGAGGAUUACUUCUAUUUGAAGGAUAAUUUUGAAAAGUUUCUGAAAUAAAAGUGACCUGAUAGUAUAACGAGGGACAAAGUUAGCUAAAUAAAUGAAAGUAGGGAAUUAUUUUAACCAUUAUCGUGACUAGAUGGUGUGUUUGAUACGAAGGAAAAUAGGUUUUCUGAUUUUUUUUUUCUAGUUUUCUCAUGUUUGAUUGAUCAAAAUAUUUGCAAAAUAUUUUCUCUAGGAAAACAAUCUCCUUAACGAUGAGGAAAAUGAAUUCCAUAAGUAGGAAAAAAAAGUUUCAUAAGUAAUUUUCAAAACCAUUGUCUCCUAUGCCACCCAAGCAAUUCACCAACUCCCAUCUCUUGAUCAUUCUAUUACCUCCACCCCAGAAUCCCCAUUUCUACUCUAUCACAUCCCAUCCCACAAUGUUUUGCUAGCUUACAAAUAAAUGCUAUUGAAAUAUUAUUUUUUGAGAAAAUUACAUAAAAAUGCACACAACAAACUUAUAUUGCAAAAUAUAACCCACUUUUUAAGUUUCUAUAGAAAAUGACCUAAUAUAUAUAUCCAAAAAGUUACUUUUCAUUAUGUAUUUCUUCACCUUUUCCCAAUACACUUCUAUUCGUUCGUUACACUCAUAUCUUCAUCUCCAUUUCAUAAAUUUGUUAUGUGCCCUCCGCUUUUCUCCUUACAUAAUAUCUCUUUCAUUUACUGAGCCAGAAGCUAGCUAUUAUCUUCAACCUCUUCCUCUCUCAAAAACCCCCAAAAUUAAGAGCUGCACAGUUCAAAGGAAAUAACUGACAAAAGGUGUUGAUCACAAUAGUAAAACAAUAGUGAGGCCUAUUCGUAAAGUGUUUUUCAUUUUUGCUGGUGCUAGUCUCUCCGUUUAUGCCUCUCUCACCAGAUUUUGUUUUCUUAUAUGUCCACCAUUUAUAGAUUUGAGGUCUCUAUUACAUAUCUGAAUUUUAGAUUGAAAUACGUUCAUGGAUUUAUGCAUUUUUUUUAUUCUUCUUUUUUUUUUGCUACGAUGAUUUUGAUAUUGAAAUUGAGAUUUAAUAAUAGAUACAAGGUGUUUUUCUAGUGUAAGUGCAUAUAGUCCAUGUUUCUAUGCACUUAUAUAAUAGAGAUACAUUGUUUAAAUAUUAUAUAUGAUAUGUAUAACAUUGUAUAAUUAUAUAUAUUAUUGUAUAGUAUAACUAUAUAUACAUCAUUAAACAAUAAUACUGAAAUUUAUAAGUGUGUAAAUUUGUAUAUUGUGUGUGUAAAAACUCUUAUACAAUAAGAUGGACUAAACUGUAUGUUUUUUUAGACUAAAGCCAAAAGAUAAAAGUCAAAGGAAGAAGAAAAAAACAAAGUCCGGUAGGUGGUUGUAGAAAUCAAUGUUGUUUUAAGGAUAUAUCUUAGGGAGCACUUCAGGGUGUAUCAACUGCCUAGGACUUCUUGUUCUCUAGUUAGGGAUCUGUCAUGUUCUCCACCAGAGUUGUAAGCUAAGUUGAAGUUGACGAAGUUGUUGAAUGUGACGAUUUAGAGGAGACUAAGUUGCAUACAAGUGUUGAUAUCACCAGAAUCAAUAAUGUAUGAUCUCAUUACCGCUGCUAUACGGCAGUACACGAAGAAAUGAAAAUGCCUGGCGAUUUGCCCAUUGAUUUCUUCGAUUACGAUCUCACUACUUGUAGUUUGGCUUAGACAGUAGAGAAAAUUGAAGGAAAGGUGUCUUUUAAGUCGGAUUGGUGACAUUGAUCAAUUUAAAGGGUCAAACAUAAUUAAAAAAUUUAAUUAGGUUAAUUGUGGACUUGAUUAAUAUUUUCAAAAAUACAAAUUAACCCACACCCACAAAACUUCCCUCCCUCUGCAAAUCAAUUUCUCUCUCUUCUUUCUCUCGAUAGUUUCUCUCUCUAACUUCUCCCAAUCAACAAUUUUUCAAAUUUCUCACUUCAAUCUUGUGCAACUUCAACCACUAGCAACAAAUAGUUUUGAGGUCUUGUCCGUUCCUUUUUUACUUUCAACCGUCAAUCAACGUGACAACAUUCUCCGGCGAUAACAACUUCUAGUUCUUCAUCGUUUCUUUUCGAUUUUUACAAUUAAAAAAUUAGGGCUUUUAAGUUAUGACGAAAAUGAGGAACUUGAUUUGUUGGUGUUUGUUAUUUUUUUAUGUUUUUUGUUAUUUUUUUAAUGUUUGUUAUUUUUUAGUUGAAUUUCUCAUCUUGGUGUAUCUUGCUACUGCUGUUUUUAAUAAUGGAUAAAACAUGUAACGUGAUCCAACAGAUGAGUAUUUGUUGCAACAUAUAUGACUAAUCUAUUGCAACAUAUAUGACUAAUUUGUUGCAACAUAUAUGACUAAUCUGUUGCAACACAUAUGUCUAAUUUGUUGCAACAAAUGAGUAAUCUGUUGCAACAAAUGAGUAAUCUGUUGCAACAUAUAUGACUAAUCUAUUGCAAUAGAUUACUCAUCUGUUGGAUUCGUUUUAUAAUGUUGUAAUACGAAUCCAACAUAUGGGUCAUCUGUUGCAACAAAUUAGUCAUAUAUUGCAACAGAUUACUCACUUGUUGCAAUGGAUGACUCAUAUGUUGGAUUCAUGUUGCAGGUUUUAUCCAUUGUAGCAGUAGCAGAUACAUCAAAUAAGAAAUUCAACAAAAAUUAUAAUUUUUACUUACAAAAUAAGCUGUGAAGUAAUGUCCAAGUGGUAUAUGAACAAAAUUUGACCUAAAAAUUUUUUAAAAAAUUUCAACAGGGGUACAACGAAUAAGUAAAACACAUGAAAAAUUUCAUGAAACAGGUAAAGAAGACAAAAAUAAUAUACCAAACAUCAAAUGCAAAAGGAUCAAGGGGACAAACAUUUGAGUUCCCCUAAAAACGUUUAAGUUCCCUAAUAUUUUAAUUGCUUUCUAAUAGUUGACCCAUCUGUUACAACAGAUUUUCUAUCUGUUUAAUAAUUUCCAACAAAUGAAUCAUUUGAUACAACAUGCAAGUCAUCUUUUGAUUCAAAUUAAGCAAUUAUUAGUAAUAACUAAAUUGAUUUAGCUAAAAUUAAAGACGUAUCUACGUCAAUGGGAUAAACAUUUGUGUUCUCCUAAAAAUAUUUGAGUUCCCUAGUAUUUUAAUUAUUUUUCAACAGAUUAUCUAUUUAUUGCAACAAGUUAGUCAUCUAUUGCAACAGAUGUUUAUAACAAGUUAGUCAUUUGUUUAUUCAAAUUAAGCAAUUAUUAAUAAUAACUAAAUUAAUUUAAUUAAAAUUGAAGACAAGUCUUUAAUACAAGACCUUAGACAAGGGGACAAAUGUUUGAGUUCUCCUAAAAAUAUUUGAGCUUUAGUAUUUUAAAUUGUUUUUCAACAUAUAUCAAACUCGGAAUCAAAAUAAGCCACGAAAUUAUAAAAAAGUGACCAAAAUAGGUCACCUAUUUAAAAAGUUACCAAAUAGGCUAAACGUAAUAAUUUAUUACGUUUUCUACUUUUUUCUUAACGGUCAACAAACAGAGUUGACUUUUACAAAAACGUAAGAAUUUCUUGCGUUUUACAUUUUUUUUGUAAAACGUAAUUUCUUACGUUUUAUAAAAAAAAUAUAAAAUGUAAGAAAUUCUUACAUUUUACAUGAUAAUCGAGGAAAAAAUUACAAUGAAUUAUCAAAUCAAUUAAAAAGGUACUAAAAAAAAGAGUUGUUCAACGUAACAAAAAGUUACGUUCUUAACUUUUUUAUAGCAGUGGUCCCCCACCCACAAUUCCUUUUUCCACAAAUGUCCCAUCACUUCUACUGUUUCCUCUUUUUACAUAUGAUAAUUUUGAAUUUUUUUAUUAGUUAAAUUUAUUUAUAUUUUACAUGUAGUUCAAAUAAUUUAUUUUUUCUAAUAAUUUUUUACGUUUUACAUAAAAAAAAAUUUCAAAAAAGAAGUAUCAAUUACCUCAUUAACUUAACAAUUUUCUUAUAUUUAUUCAAUAUCAAAAAAUAAUCACUUCUAUCCUUAAUUAUCCGAUUUCUCUUUAAAAAAAAUUAUACUUUUGAGUUUUCCUCUACUCCAAAAUAGUGAAAUGUUGAAUUAUCGUCGAUCAAAUNNNNNNNNNNNNNNNNNNNNNNNNNNNNNNNNNNNNNNNNNNNNNNNNNNNNNNNNNAUAUAUUUUCUUAUAUUAAUUUAGGAGUGUUCCUAAAUUAAAUUGUGAUUUUUUACUCCAUUAAUUAUAAUAUGAAACAUAUUUGUGCGUGUGAGUCUCCUCAAUAUCCUAAUCGGAAUACUAAUCGAAAACUAUGAUGAAUCACUAUACGAAAAAAUUAAUUUCAGAUUUUUAACACACCAAAAAAAUAUAAUUAUUGUAUAUAGUAGCAUAUUUGAUCGACGAUAAUUCAAUAUUUUACUAUUUUGGAGUAGAGAAAAAUUCAAAAGUAUAAUUUUUUUAGAGAGAAAUCGGAUAAUUAAGGAUAGAAGUGAUUAUUUUUUGAUAUAGAAUAAAUUUAAGAAAAUUGUUAAUUUAAUGAGGUAAUUGAUACUUCCAUUUUUAAAAUUUUUUAUGUAAAACGUAGAAAUUUAUUACAUAGAGAAAAAAUAAAUUAUUUAAACUACAUGUAAAAUAUAAUAAAUUUAUCUAAUCAAAAAAUUCAUAAUUAUCAUAUGUAAAAAGAGGAAAAAGUAGAAGUGAUGGGACAUUUGUGGAAAAGGGAAUUGUGGUGGGGGACCACUGCUAUAAAUAAGUUAAGAACGUAAAUUUUUGUUAUGUUGAACAACUCAAUUUUUAGUAUCUUUUUAAUUGAUUUGAUAAUUCACUGCAUUUUUUCCUCGGUCAUCGUGUAAAAUGUAAGAAAUUCUUACGUUUUAUAUUUUUUUUAUAAAACGUAAGAAUUUUUUACAUUUUACAAAAAAAAAAUGUAAAACGUAAGAAAUUGUAAAAGUCAACUUUGUUAAUUGAUCGUUAAGAAAAAAUAGAAAACGUAAUAAAUUAUUACGUUUAGCCUAUUUUGGUAACUUUUAAAAUAGGUGACCUAUUUUGAUCACUUUUUAAAUUCUGUGGCUUAUUUUGGUUCUGAGUUCACAUAUAUCUUAUCUAUUUAAUAAUUUCCAAUAGAUGAGUCAUAUGUUGUAACAAUUUAGUCAUCUGUUGCAACAGAUGUCUAUAUUUGUUGGGUAACUUUCAAUAGAUGAGUUAGUUAUUGCAGCAGGUUAGUCAUCUGUUGCAACAUAUGUCUAUAUAUGUUUGGUCAUUUUUAACAAAUGUCUUUAACUGUUUGGUCUUUUUCAAUAGACUACUCAUCUAUUGCAACAUGUUAAUUGAAAUCAUAACUGAACUUAUCAAUUCAUCUUUAAUUUUAGUUAAACCAAUGUUGUUAUUACUAAUAAGGUCUUAAUUUAAUUUAUUUCAAAUAAAAGUGGUCAAUUAACACUUUACUCAAGACUAAUACACUUAGAUGAUCAUGUAAUUACAAUGAAAUUAAUUGAAAUCGUCAUUAAAUUAUCAAUUCAUCUUUAAUUUUAGUUAAAUCAAUUUAGUUAUUACUAAUAAUUACUUAAUUUUAAUUAUUUCAAAUUAAAUUGGUCAAUUAAUCAUUCUACUUAAGAAGAAACACUUAGUUGAUCAUGUAAUUACUAUAAAAUUAAUUGAAAUUGUAAGUGAACUUACUAAUUCAUUUUUAAUUUUAGUUAAAUCCAUACAGUUAUUUCUAUUUAUGGCUUGGUUAUUUCUACUAAGGACGAACACACUUAGUUGAUAGUGUAAUUACCACGAGAUUAAUUGAAACUGUAAUUAAACUUGUUAAUUCAUGUUUAAUUCUAGUUAAAUAAAUUUAGUUAUUACUAAUAUAAUGAAUUAAUAUAAAUCAAUAGAUGACUAACAUGUUGCAAAAGAUGAGUUAUCUAUUGAAAUGACUAAACAGAUAAAGACAUCUGUUGGAAAUGAUCAAACAGAUAAAGACAUCUGUUGGAAAUGACCAAAUAAAUAUAGACAUAUGUUGCAAUAGAUGACUAACCUGUUGCAAUAAAUGACUCAUCUAUUAAAAAUUAUCAAACAAAUCUAGACAUCUGUUGCAAUAGAUGACUAAGUUGUUUGUUGAAAAUUAUCAAACAUAUAGGAUAUAUGUUGGAGAUGUUUUUAAGAGAACUCAAAUGUUUGUCCCCUUGUCUAAGGUCUUGUCUUUAAUUUUAGUUAAAUCAAUUUAGUUAUUACUAGUAAUUGCUUAAUUUGAAUCAUUUCAAAUAAANNNNNNNNNNNNNNNNNNNNNNNNNNNNNNNNNNNNNNNNNNNNNNNNNNNNNNNNNNNNNNNNNNNNNNNNNNNNNNNNNNNNNNNNNNNNNNNNNNNNNNNNNNNNNNNNNNNNNNNNNNNNNNNNNNNNNNNNNNNNNNNNNNNNNNNNNNNNNNNNNNNNNNNNNNNNNNNNNNNNNNNNNNNNNNNNNNNNNNNNNNNNNNNNNNNNNNNNNNNNNNNNNNNNNNNNNNNNNNNNNNNNNNNNNNNNNNNNNNNNNNNNNNNNNNNNNNNNNNNNNNNNNNNNNNNNNNNNNNNNNNNNNNNNNNNNNNNNNNNNNNNGAAUACACUUAGUUAAUAAUUUAAUUACUAUGAGAUUAAUUGAAAUUGUAAUUUUAUCUUUAAUUUUAGUUAAAUCAAGUUAGUUAUUACUAAUAAUAUCUUAAUUUGAAUUAUUUCAAAUAAAAUUAAUCGAUUGAUCACUCUACUCGGGACGAAUACAGUUAGUUAAUCAUGUAAUUAUGAUGAGAUUAAUUGAAAUUGUAAGUGAACUCAUUAAUUCAUGUUUAAUUUUAGUUAAACCAACAUAGUUAUUACUAAUAAUGGCUUAAUUUGAAUCAUUUAAAAUAAAAUUGGUCAAUUAAUUAUUCUACUAAGGAUGAAACACUUAAUUGAUCAUNNNNNNNNNNNNNNNNNNNNNNNNNNNNNNNNNNNNNNNNNNNNNNNNNNNNNNNNNNNNNNNNNNNNNNNNNNNNNNNNNNNNNNNNNNNNNNNNNNNNNNNNNNNNNNNNNNNNNNNNNNNNNNNNNNNNNNNNNNNNNNNNNNNNNNNNNNNNNNNNNNNNNNNNNNNNNNNNNNNNNNNNNNNNNNNNNNNNNNNNNNNNNNNNNNNNNNNNNNNNNNNNNNNNNNNNNNNNNNNNNNNNNNNNNNNNNNNNNNNNNNNNNNNNNNNNNNNNNNNNNNNNNNNNNNNNNNNNNNNNNNNNNNNNNNNNNNNNNNNNNNNNNNNNNNNNNNNNNNNNNNNNNNNNNNNNNNNNNNNNNNNNNNNNNNNNNNNNNNNNNNNNNNNNNNNNNNNNNNNNNNNNNNNNNNNNNNNNNNNNNNNNNNNNNNNNNNNNNNNNNNNNNNNNNNNNNNNNNNNNNNNNNNNNNNNNNNNNNNNNNNNNNNNNNNNNNNNNNNNNNNNNNNNNNNNNNNNNNNNNNNNNNNNNNNNNNNNNNNNNNNNNNNUAAUAAUUAAAUUGAUUUAACUCUUCUGUUGAAAAUUACUAAAUAGACAAAAUAUGUGUUGAAAAACAAUUUAAAAUACUAAAGCUCAAAUAUUUUUUAGGAGAACUCAAAUGUUUUCCCCCUUGUCUAAGGUCUUGUCUUCAAUUUUAGUUAAAUCAAUUUAAUUAUUAUUAAUAAUUGCUUAAUUUGAAUUAACAAAUGACUAACCUGUUAUAAGCAUUUUUGCAACAGAUGACUAACUUGUUGCAACAAAUAGGUGAUUUGUUGGAAAUAAUUAAAAUACUAGGGAACUCAAACAUUUUUAGGAGAACUCAAAUGUUUGUCCCAUUUUCUUAAAGACUUGUCUUUAAUUUUAACUAAAUCAAUUUAGUUAUUACUAAUAAUUGCUUAAUUUGAAUCAACAGAUGACUGACAUAUUGCAACAGAUGAUUCAUCUGUUAAAAAUUAUCAAACAGAUAGAAAAUAUGUUAUAAUAAAUGGGUUAUCCAUUAGAAAACAAUUAAAAUAUUCGGGAACUUAAAUAUUUUUAGGAGAACUCAAAUGUUUGUUCCCUUGAUCCUUUUGCAUUUGAUGUACGAUACACUAUUUUUGUCUUCUUUACCUGUUUCAUGAAAUUUUUCAUGUGUUUCACUUAUUCGUUGUGCCCUUGUUGAAAUUUUUAGAAUUUUUUUAGGUCAAAUUUUGUUCGUAUAUCACUUGGACAUUACUUCAUAGGUGAUUUUGUAAGUAUAAUUAUGAUUUUUGUUGAAUUUUUUAUUUGGUAUAUUUGCCACUGCUAUAAUGGAUAGAACCUGCAACAUGAAUCCAAUAUAUGAGUCAUUUAUUGUAACAAGUGAGUAAUAUGUUGCAACAUAUGACUAAUCUAUUGCAACAGAUGACCUAUAUAUUGGAUUCAUGUUACAACACUAUAAUACAAAUCCAAUAGAUGAGUAAUCUGUUGCAACAGAUUAGUCAUAUUUGUUACAACAGAUUACUCAUAUGUUGCAACAGAUUAGUCAAUAUGUUACAACAGAUUAGUUAAUAUGUUACAACAGAUUAGUCAAUAUGUUACAACAGGUUACUCAUCUGUGCAACAGAUUACUCAUCUGUUGGAUUUACGUUAUAUGUUCUAUCUACUAUUGAAAAAACAGCAGUAGCAGAUACACCCAGAUGAGAAAUUUAACUAAAAAUUAUAAUUUUACUUACUAAAAUCACCUAAUGUAAUUCCCAAGUGAUAUACGAAGAAAAUUUGACCUAAAAAAAUUGAUCAAGUAGCAAUAGUAGCGGUAACAACCAUGUUCAACAACAAGAAGAUGAUGAUGAUGAACAAGAAAAGAUGAUAGUGAAGAACAAGAUGAUGAUAAUAAAGAAGAAGAUGAUGAAUAAAGCAACAACAACAAUGAACAACAAAAAUCACGAAGAGAGAGAAAACUCCAAUAAAUGAGAAGAGAGAGAAACGUGCAUUUUUUCCCUCGAUUUCUAGUUAUAUUAGGUUUUACAUUGGAUCAAAGUGUAAAUUAAAAAACUUGUGGGUUAUUUUUAAACUUUUCUUACUUUCUUAAUCCUUAAUAAAGUAAUUGUCACCUCCACUCAAUUAUUAAGACUUGUGUCACCCACACUUUAUUUUAAAACUCUUUUGUCACCUAGAGCCCAAGGCCCCUAGACAGUAAGUGGUCAUUUGUUAAGUGUAUUAAAAAAAUAAUGCUUGCAUUAGCUGUGUGUACUAAUAAUACCUUAUUUGGCACACUUUUUUGGCCUAUGUAUAACUAAUACAAACAUUAGUUAUACACUUUAUUGUGUAUUAAAGUGUGUAUUAUUAAUACCACCCUUUUUUAUGCAUUAGCAAUGCAAAAUAUUUCAACACAUGCAUAACUUAGUACAACAACAACAUACCCAGUGUAUUCCCAUAUAGUAGGAUCUAGGGAGGGUAGAGUGUACGCAGACCAUACCACUACCUCAGGUAAAGUAGAGAGGUUGUUUCCGAUAGAGCCCCGGCUUAGAACCAAUAACAAUAUAACAAACAUAAAACAUAAAUGUAUAUAAACAAGUACAGUAUGCAAAAUAAACUAAUACCGCUAGCCAAAAAAUAAUACUACAGCCACAGGAUAAUACUAGAAACUAUCUAACCGAAACCAUAGACAUCACACAACACCACGAAUAGAAAACUUCAGACACAAAAGAAAUGCUCCCCUACUGUUACCGACACACUCUUACCCCCUAUCCCUCUACCCUAAUCUACAUCCUCUACAUGUUUCUAUCAAGGGUCAUGUCCUUCAUAAGCUGUAACUACUCCAUAUCAUGCCUAAUUACCUCCAUCCAAUAUGUUUUUGGCCAACCUCUACCCCGUCUAAAAUCAUCCAUAGCCAAUGUCUCAUACCUCCGCACUGGAACAUCAGAAACCUUCCUCAUCACGUGCCCGAACCAAUGUAAUCUCACUUCUCGUAUCUUGUCCUCCAUCGAAGCAACUCCCACCUUCUCCCAUAUAAUCUCAUUCCUUACCCUAUCUUUCCUGGUAAGGCCACACAUCCAUCGUAAUAUCCUCAUCUCUGCCACCUUCAACUUUUCAGAUAUGAGAGUUCUUUACUGGCUAACACUCGGCUCUAUACAACAUAGCUUGUCUAACUUCCACUCAAUAGAACUUACCUUUAAGCUACGGGGGUACUUUCUUAUCACAUAAAACUCCCGAAGCGAGCCUCCAUUUCAACCACCCAUCCCCAAUAUGAUGCGUGACAUCCUUGUUAAUCUCACUAUUACCCUAAAUCAUAGACCCCAGAUACUUGAAACUCUCCCUCUUCUGGAUAGCCUGAGAUUCUAGCUUCACCACUAUGCCAACCUCCUGUGACAUAUCACUAAACUUACACUCUAAGUACUCCGUCUUGGUCCUGCUCAACCAAAAUCCUUUAGCCUCAAGCAUCUGUCUCCAAAUCUCCAACUUAUCAUUAACUCCUCCUUGAGUCUCAUCAAUCAGUACCACAUCAUUCGCAAAUAACAUACACCAAGGCACCUCCCAGUGAAUAUGUCGCAUCAAAACAUCCAUUACCAAGGCAAAUAAAAAUGGACUAAGAGUCGAUCCCAGGUGCAAUCCUAUCAAAACUGGAAAGUGCUCUGAAUCUCCACCUACCAUCCUCACAUAAGUCUUCGCACCAUCAUACAUGUCCUGAAUCGACCUAGUGUACGCCAUGGGCACCCCUCUAGUCUCCAAGUACCUCCACAGAAUCUUCUUAGGAACUCUGUCAUAUGCCUUCUCAAAAUCAAUAAACAUCAUGUGCAAGUCCCUCCUCCUCUCCCAAAACUGCUCCACCAAUCUCCUCACAAGGUGAAUGGCCUUAGUAGUCGAGCGACCUGGCAUGAAAUCGAACUAAUUCUCAGAGAUAGUCACUGGCAUAGCAGAGAAGUGCAACCAUACUUUACAAAAACCCGUAAUUUCUCUGAUGCCUCAUUCGAUGCCAACCUGUAAUGGGUUUUUCGACCCAAGAAUGAACUCACAAUAGAAAAGCAAGGCUAGUCUUCAACAACAACUGGGUUUGGGUCCAUUUACUUUCACUCUAAUAAUUGCUUUCAAGAACAACGCCUCUCAGAGUACAUAUAACAGAAAAAGUCAGCGAAUCCAAAUUGAACUACACCAAAUAAAUUUGAGAUUUCUACAACAACUGUAGCUGUUGCCUGCCUCCGUCUCCACUUGAAAAAAGAGUUACAAAUCUAAAAAAGGCAAUUAUUUUAUAAUAAUUAUAUUUUUAUAUUAUCUUAAAUAUAUCAAACCAAACAGUGUCUAAGAAAUAUUGAAUGCAUAACUAAUACUAGUAUAAUAAAUAUAAAUAUUAUUAAUACACCAUUUCAACAUUAUUCGUACACACUACCAAACGACUCCUAAGAGUCGACUGAACUCCUUGUUGCAAUUUUUGACUAUAUUGUUGUAAUGUAUCAUUUGAGGCAUUAUUUUGCAAUAUAGAUUAAUUGAUGUGUAUAUUUAAAAAAUUUCCCUCGUCUUUUUACCACCAAAUAUUAAAAAAUAAGUCAGAAAUCACUUGUUUUCUAGAAAAACACUUUCAUACAAAACACACUCCGAGUGGAAAAGAGAAAAAAGUCGAAGGUUCCUGGAGAAACGGUAACUGAAAUCGAUCUAGUUCCAUGCACCAUCAAUUUGCCUGAUAGGAAGUAUGUGCUCACUGAAAUAAUUUAUUUAACACAUUUAGUCCUUCAAAUGGAUCCUGAGCCGGGGGUCUAUCGGAACAGUCUCUCUACUUCUUCGGAGGUAGUAGUAUGGAUUGCAUACAUUUUACCCUAGCCAAACCUCACUUUGUGGGGAAUACACUAUGUUUAUUGUUGGUGGUGGUGUUGUAGUCCUUCAAAUGGAUGAUCUUUAAUUUUUAGCCUCGAUGACUUUUUAACCUGAAGUCAUGGCUGACAUUACUUAUGAAAUAUUAUAAUACAAAAAUAAAAGUUUAUACCCUGCGAAAAAGUUUUUGUUAGGAAAUCAUAAAUUGAAGACAUCACAAAAUAGGGGCAAAUGUGCAAAUGACCCUAUGGAAACAAGCAUCAAGCACAUCAACAGACGAAAGAGUGAACAAUGAACUGAACGGAAGAUUCUUAAGCAGUUAAUAAUAUUGUCCAGUACAUUUCAAUAGAUUAGACUUGUAAAUGAUUUUCAAGGUUUGAACACCAAGCGACUGAAAAGCAAAGAAAGUACCUAAAGUGUGCAAGUGCUUAAAACCAAAACACUAAUAGAAGUAUUCUCAUCUCAUCAAAACCUCCAACGGAGCAAAACGUUGUUAGUCAAGGCUUCUACCCAUAACUCAUAUUGUUGUCAAGAUCACUAUUAAGAAAAUCUUUUUCGGUGAAUUCAUGACGUAUCAGGGACCAUGUCAUCUGAUACAUGCAUACUCCGGGAAAAUCUGGAGUUGUUUCACUGAAACCACUGUAGCCAGCAGACCCAGAGGGUUCAAAGUAGGAUGCCAACUUAAAACUGUGGAUGAUUCUACUCGGUGUGGGUGCUACACUGCUUUCUAGCCCAUGUGAAGUUGCUGCAGCAACCAUAGAAUCAUUGUUGCCAAGUACAAGGCCUUCCCUCAAAGCACUACCACCUCCACUCUGUCCAGCAAGGCAAUGCUGUUGAACUCCACACCCACCACUACUGUUCAUUUCCUGGAGGUGCUGCUGGAUCAUUUGCUGCUGCAGGACCUGGAGCACUGAGACUGAUUUUGCUGGAGUAAGCCGCUACUCAGCAAUUGCUGCUAUUAUAGCUGCGGAUUGGUACUCGACAACCCAGUGACUGGUAAACUUGACAGUGUAAGAGAAGCUUGUCCAAAGCCACUUAAAGCUACCCAACUACCCAUGUGCUGGUUAUUGCUGAUUUGGAUAUUAAGCCCAGGGUGCAGUGACAUAAGCUUGUCCAACGCAUUGAGAUCGGUUGGCAGACCAUGAAUACAACCCAUCUGCUGCUCGGUUUCCUCAAUAUUUUGCGUAUCAAAUUUGGCUGCCUUACCAUGUCGUCUAAUACUCUUUAAGCCCUCUGUAAAACAAGCAAGAUAAGUAACCCCUAAUAUUUAACAUUUUCCCAGCAUGCUAAAAGUUGAGAAUUAUCAUGGUACAGGUUAUAGUGGAGAAUAAUGGAUAUUUAGUUUUAUCUCCAAUCACACGUUCUUUUUAUUUUAAAAAAAGAAAAGAAACUAUUUACCAAUGGGACCAGAUUUAUUCUCCAUGCAGAUAUCCAUCAAAUUCGUCAUCCUAUUCACCACCUCAGCUGUCUGACAAACAUAUGCAAAAGAAUUCAAGUAGUAAAACAUUAGAAAGCCAGAUAAGCGAAGCCAACACUUGAAUUAUAAAUGGACCACGAAAAAUCUAGUCUCGCAUUUUCUUCCCUCAAAAAGUCUCCCCAGAUUCAUCCAAACAUACCUGUAAGAAUCUCACAUGUCUUUUGGAAAAUCCAAAAUCAAUAAGUGACUGAAACUCCAAGCUCGUAGCAAGUUGACGUCCAGUCGUAACAACCUUAAUGUACAACAGCAUAAAAAAUGAGACAUGAGAUUAUAGUUCAAACCAAUUUUCAGAUAUAAGAAACAAAACACCUCCCAAAAUUAAUGAGAAGUCUAUUCUCUAUGGUUAGAAAUGCUUUUAACACUAUGAACCGUUGCUAUAAAAGUAACAGGCUCAAUGGAAGCUUGUAGUGCAAAUUAAAUCCUCAUCUGGUGUUCUCUGUAACUUGAAAAUCAACCAAACUCCAUUUUUAAGGGUAUAUAUUAGUUGUUGGCAGUAAUAAGAAGCCAUUCCAAGAGUACUGGAAAACAGAUACAGAAAGUGGGCACCAUUUAGGAUGAGGUACAUAUUAAGUGAGACAACCCAGUAAAUAUAUUAACAGACACCACUCUCAGUCGAAAUUAGAAUCCUACACACACAAAUUAGUAGACAGGUGGGAACUGGAGAACAAACUAAAAUGGAAAGAGGAACAAAAUGAUUUACACACACAGGAAGUGACAUCAAAUCAGACAAGUAGCCUUUGCUGUGGAGGGUGUGUAUGUGUGUUCAGGGGGAGGGGAUAAGUACAGACUAGUAGCUUUUCACCCACAUGAUGUUGUUAGCUAAUAAAUCCUGCUGAGAAUUUGGCAUUUCUGUUAAUGUACUCACAUUUUUUAGCAACCUCCAGCAAUUGAUUUACCUAAAAAGAUCAAUGCUAUGAGGGCAAGUUGUAAACACUGCAAUUGCUUUUCAUUCAACGUCAGGUGAGUCAAGACAAAGUUGAAAGACAAUCGUCAAAAAAAUAUUAGUUAGUUCAUGUUAGAGUAAAAGAGUUUUGAUGAUUGACAUAUGUUGAUGAAACAUAUUAGUCAUGCUGGUUCUCACAUGUAAAACACAUCAGAGCAAUUGCAAGGUUGACAAUACGUAAAGACAGGAGUGGAUAAACAAGGACAGUCAGAUAUGUUCUCAAUGCUUACCACAUGCAACAAAGAGGAUGAAAAAGAAAAGAUAAAUCCAACACUUAGAGAUUGAGUUGAUCAAGGAAUCUUGCCAGACUAGGGGAUAAAGUAGAAGAGUUCUAUUCAACAAGGAGAGAGAGACGGCUGCAACAAGGAGUGAAACUACCUGGUAGAGUCCUAUUGAAGAUAGAAGAAUACAUCAUCUAAAGGACUCAAUCAGGAGUUGGCUUAAAUACAACAAAUGACAUGCAAGUGUUUCACUCAAGCAUUGAAUAAGAAAAUCAUCAAUCAACAAAUUAGUUCACUAACUUGAAGAAGAACCUGGUCCUUUACUUAGCAAGUCAUAGACUCUGUGUAAUAGGUUGGUUCUUUGAGUUGUAAUGAGUCUUUAUUCUAGUCUCAAUGAAUUAUAAACUAGGUUAGGAGUUAUGUUUUCAAGUUAGAGAACUCGAAGACUUGGGAAUACUUAUCUUGGAAAGAUUUAUGUUAUUGUAGAAAUAGUAGUUAGAAGAUUUAAUUCCUAGUUUACAAGAAGUCUUGUAAUCUGUUGAUUGUUGAGACUCACGAGUUUUAGUGAAGUUGGAUUUAAAUCCUGUAGAGAUACAGGUCAUGGUUUUUUACACCUUUCUUGAGCUGGGUGUUUUCCACAUAAAAAUAAUUAUUUUCAUUUUUACUUCUGUGAACCACAUUAGUUGACUUGUUCAACUGAUAGGCAACUAUUAGAGUAAAACACUAAAAUCAGUAGGGUACACACUCUAACAAGUGGUAUCAGAGCGAGGUUGUCCUAAAUAAGGUUAGCACCUAAGAAAAAUAUCACUAUGAUGAAUUCUGUACCUCCUAUUGGUCAUAGUGAAGGUCAUUCAACUACUGGACCUCCACUCUUUGAUGGUUUUCACUUUAUAUGAUGGAAAGUCAGGAUGAAAAUAUUCAUCCAAGGUGAAGACUACAAAUUAUGGGAUAGGAUCACUGAUAGUCCUACUAUCCCAAUGAAGUUGGUUGAUGGUGAAUAAGUCAAGAAAGUAAGGAGUGAAUUUACUACUGAUGACUUAGUGGCAUUAAAGAGAAAUGCUAAGGCUAAGAACAUCUUAGUCUAUGGACUAAGACCAGCUGAGUACAACAGAGUGUCAACUUGUACCACUGUUAAGAAAAUUUGGGAUGCACUAGUCAAUGCACAUAAGGGUACCUCUCGAGUAAGAAAAUUCAAGAUUGCUCUUCUUUUUACUGAGUAUGAAGCAUUUAAGAUGAAGGAGAAUGAAUCCUUGCAUGAGAUGAUGACAAGGCUUACUGCCUUAACAAAUGAGCUAACUUCCUUGGGAGAGUUGACUUCUUUGGGAAAGGUCAUCACUAAGGAGGAACAAGUUGAAAAAGUGCUGAGAGUACUAUCAAAAUCAAAAUGGAAUGUUAAAGUGACUACAAUUAGGGAGGCAAAGGAUCUCACAGGUACGACACUGGAUGAACUAGUAGGAAAUUUAAGGACUUAUGAAAUAGAAAUUGAUGGAACUAAUAAACACACAGCCCCUGAGAAAGUCUUGGCUUUGAAGGCCUCAGACAGUUAUGAUGAAAUUGAACUUGACCAAGAACAAAUUGCCUUCAUAACUAAUAAUUUUAGUAAAUUCUUUAAAAAGAAAAAGGGAACAGGUAGCAAGAAAUAUUCCAAUGACAAUCCAAAUGGAUGCUACAAGUGUGGAAAGACUGAUCAUCAGAUCAAGGAUUGUCCUGUUUGGGAAAUAGAAUGAAGGAAUAAAAGGGUUGAGAAAGAAUUGAAAGAAAAAGCCAAAAGGAAGAAAGAACAUGCUAUGGUAGCAGCUUGGGGAUUUGAUUCAGAUGAUGAUGAAAGUGAUGAAACGACAUUCAUGGCCUUAGGAGAUUUUGACUUAAAGGAAGAAGAUGGUGCUUCUGAGGUAAGUAUACUUGAACUUAAAGAAAAAUUGCAUUUACUUUCAAAAACAAAACUUGUUUCCUUGAUGAGAGCACUAAUUGAUGAUUUUCGAGAAUUAACUUCUGAUAGGGAUGAGUUGUUCAAUAGUCUUGCAAGUCUAAAAUUUGAUCUCAAUGAUUUAAAAGCUUACAAGAAUAUAGUUGAAGAAGAAAACUGCACUCUCAAGAAACAGGCUGCACAACUUGAUUCUUCAAACAAUGAUCUUAAGUUUGGAGUCUUAAAAUUAACACUAACUAAAAAUGGAAAAAAGGUCAUAAGUAAAGAACAAAAAAGUGUUGAACUUGAAUUAGUCAAGUACAAACAAGAAUGUAAUGAUGCAAAAGAUAUGGUGAAUAAACUAAGUCAAGAAGUCUCUAAAUUGAAACUUGAUCUUGAAAGAGUGAACAGUGGACAAAUUCUUCAAGAUUUGUUCAUAAGUUGAGUGAAAGAAAUCAUAGUGAAAAGGAAGGUUUGGGUUUCUACAAAAGUCUUGAUGAUCCUAAAGACUUAUGUUUUAUCUGUGGUAACCUUAGACAUCCAACCACUGAAUGUCCUGUGGCUACUAAAAAAAGAUCUAGCAGUCAAAACCUGGCUAAUAAAUUUUCUCAGACCAAGAAGAAAAGAACUGAUUUUGGUCAGAGAAAUAGGUCACAUUAUGUGUUGCCUGCAUGGACUAGAAGAAAUUUAAUUCAUCCAUUUACUUAUAAAACAAGACCCAAGCCUGUCUGGGUUCCUAAGUCUAACCAUUGAUUUCUUGCAGGAGAAAGUGAAAGGAAGCAAAAAACAUUGGUACCUGGAUAGUGCUUGAUCAAGACACAUGACUGGUGAUAAGAAUAAGUUCCUUCCACUCUUCAAAAUAAAUGGAGGAGGAGUCUCUUUUAGUGAUGGCAAAAAAGAAAUCAUUAUUGGAGUUAGAAAAAUUGGCACAUCUGAAUCAAGAGCAUUGGAAGAUGUUUAUCUUAUAGAAGGAUUGAAGCGUAUUUCACAACUGUGUGAUAAAGGUAAUAAAGUUAUUUUUACUUCUCCAGGAGUCAGAGUCAAGAGGAUGGACACCAAAGAGAUUGUGUUCACUGUAAGAAGAUAUAAAAAUGUAUCAAAACUGACAUAAUGGCAAUGCCAGGAACAUAGUUGACCUGUCUGAGUGCAAUAGAAAAUGAUCCCAUUUUUUGGUACAGGAGACUUGGACAUGCAAGUCUAAAACAGCUAAACAUACUUUCUUCCAAAGAUAUGGGAUUGGGUUUUCCCAAGACCAAGUUCAAGGAAGAAAAGGUAUGUAGUGCCUGUAUAGUGCCUCCAUGUUUGGUAGCUCCAAUCAAAGAACCAUGUCAGCACUACCAAGUGCCUCGACCUGGUCUAUAUGGAUUUGUGUGGACCAAUAAGACUUCAAAGCAGAGGUGAAAAAAGGUAUGUUUUUAUGAUUGUUGAUGAUUAUUCCAUAUUUACCUGGAUAGUGUUUCUAGCUUCUAAAGAAGAUGCCUUUGAUGUCUUUACUAUUUUCAUCAAGAAAAUUGAAAAGAAACUGGGCACUUCUCUAGUUUCCAUAAGAUCUGACAUGGUACAGAAUUUGAGAAUGUUAAAUUUUUAGAAUUCUAUUCCACAAAUGGUAUAGAUCAUAACUUAUUUGCUCCCAGAACACCAUAACAAAAUGGAGUGGUAGAAAGAAAGAAUAAAAUCUUAGAAGAUAUGGCUAGAACAGUGAUGCUUGCAGGAAAUAUUGCUAAAAACCUUUGGGUUGAGGCUAUUAGUACUGCAACAUAUAUCAUAUAGAUGCAUGAUCAUACCUAUUCUAGAGAAGACUCCCUAUGAAUUACUAAAAGAAAGAAAACCAAACAUUUAUCAUUUUAGAACUUUUGGUUGUAAAUGUUUCAUUCAUAAUAAUGGAAAGGAUAAUCUGGGAAAAUUUGAUGCUAAAAGUGAUAAGGGAAUCUUCUUAGGUUAUUUACUUUAUAGUAAGGCUUAUAGGGCUCUAAACAACAGAACAAACUGUGUUGAAGAAAGUGUGCAUGUAGUUUUUAAUAAAUCCUGUGUUAAGUCUAACUUGCAGGAAGAAAGUGACUCUGAGAAAUGGAUUACACAACCUGGUUCAUCGAUUGGAGCUACCAAACAUGGAGGCACCUCAACAGGGGGAACUGAUUCUGGAGGCAUAGUGAUAGGGGGAAAUGAACCACUAACUACCCCAGCUCAGAACAUCAGUAGUGAUCCUAGUAGCUCACUAGGUUUGGUCCCAAAAGGUUACAAGUAUCAACGAUCACAUCCUAUUGAGAAUGUUCUGGUAUCACCACAAGGUCUAGACUAAGAAGCAUGUGUGCUUUCAAAGUAUUCUUGUCAAAAAUAGAGCCAAAGAAGGUAACUAAAGCACUGUUUGAUACUGAUUGGAUUAUAGCCAUGCAGGAAGAGUUAAAUCAGUUUGAGAGAAGCAAAGUAUGGCACUUAGUUCCACUCCCAAAAGACAGAACAGUAAUUGAAACUAAGUGGGUGUAUAGAAAUAAGCUUGAUAAGCAUGGCACAGUUACAAGGAACAAGGCAAGAUUAGUGGUCCAAGGGUACAAUAAAAAAGAAGGCAUAGAUUUUGAUAAGACUUUUGCUCCUGUAGCGAGAAUUGAAGCAAUUAGAUUACUUAUUUCUUUUGCUGCUUAUAUGAAAUUUAUUCUCUAUCAAAUGGAUGUUAAGAGUGCAUUCUUGAAUGGCAUUCUUAAAGAGGAGGUGUAUGUCAAACAACCACCAGGAUUUGAAAGCAAGGAAUUUCCUGAUCAUGUUUAUAAACUGGACAAGACUUUGUAUGGAAUGAAACAAGCUCCAAGAUCUUGGUACGAGAGAUUGUCAAAAUUUCUUAUGAAGCAUGGUCACACUAGAGGUAAAAUUGAAAACACUCUUUUCUUAAAAACUAAUGGAAAAUAUUUGUUGGUUGUGCCGGUAUAUGUUGAUGACAUUAUUUUUGGCUCUACAAACAUGAAUAUGACUCAUGAUUUUGCUAAACUCAUGAAUUGUGAAUUUGAGAUGAGUAUGAUGGGGGAGCUAAACUUCUUCUUGGGUUUGUAAAUUAAACAAACAGCAUCUAAAACCAUGAUCCAUCAACAGAAGUAUGUCAAGGAACUUCUUAAAAGAUUUUCCAUGAAAGAGGCAAAAGAGAUCAGCACUCCAAUAGCCACUGUCACAAAACUUGAUUUGGAUAAAAUAGGUCCUAAUGUGGAGAGAAAGUUUUACAGAGAAAUGAUAGGUUCAUUACUGUAUCUCAUAGCAACCAGGCUUGAUAUUGUAUUCAGUGUUGAGCUAUGUGCAAGGUUUCAAAAAAAUCCCAAAGAAUCUCAUUUAAAAUCUGUGAAGAGAAUCUUUAGAUAUCUCAAAGGAACCAGUGAUCUUGGCCUAUAGUAUCCAAAAGGUAGUAACUUUAACUUGGUAGGAUACUCUGCUACUGACUAUGCAGGAUACUUGGUGGACAGAAAGAGCAUCACAGGCUUGACACACUUCCUUGGAUCAUGUUUAAUUACCUGGUCCACUAAGAAACAAAACUCAGUAGCUUUGUCUACUACUGAGGCUGAAUAUGUUGUUGUAGGAUCUUGUUGUGCUCAGUUGUUAUGGAUUAAACAACAACUCAUGGACUUCGGUAUAGAUGUUGGAUGUGUUCCUAUUUUCUGUGAUAAUACAAGUGCCAUUAAUAUUGCUAAGAAUCCUGUUCAACAUAAAAGAACUAAAUAUAUUGUUAUUAGACAUCACUUUCUUAGAGAUAAAGUCGAAAAAGGUCUUAUAUCAAUCAUGUUUUGCUCCACUGAAGAACAAAUUGCUGAUAUAUUUGAUAACUCUCAACUUACACGUCAAUUUAGUACAAGGCGGUCGUCGUUAAUAUAUUUACCCAACUUUGGAGUCGGGGUCAAAUCCACAGGGAACAAUGUGAGUGACGAUUAAACUAAUUUGAAACAAAAGCUACAAGUUGAAUUCAAACAGAUGAUACGAAAAGAUAAAAUGGGGGGUUUUGGAGAUUAAUAAAUAAUUGUUGGUCACUUUAGUUACAGUGUUUGUAUAUCAGGAGUUUAUGAAAUAACCAGAAUUAUGUUCACUAGGGCUUCCGGUGCAUGACAGAUGCUAAAAGUGGUUCAAGAUUCUCAUGGUGGGUAGGAUAACAAGCUAUCUUUAUCGAUGUUAUGCUUAAAUGUCUCUCGACCUACUUAAGCGUUUAAUUCCUUAAUCCUUUUGGGCUUAGGGAAUUUCUAUUUAAUGUCCAGAUUUUACCUCAGGUUAACCAACCUUGUUAAAGCGCUGAUUAUUAAAUAAAAUAUUUUUGAGUCCCUGUUGAUAAUUCACUUCCUACUAUAUUUGACAUGACAGAUGCUAAAAGUGGUUCAAGAUUCUCAUGGUGGGUAGGAUAACAAGCUAUCUUUAUCGAUGUUAUGCUUAAAUGUCUCUCGACCUACUUAAGCGUUUAAUUCCUUAAUCCUCUCAGACUGAGGGAAUUUCUAUUUACUGCCCAGAUUUUACCUCAGGUUAACCAACUUUGUUACAACGCUGAUUAUUAAAUAAAGUAUUUCCGAGUCACUAUUGAUAAUUCACUUCCUAAUUUAUUUGAUUUCUUUCUCAAACAAAUCAAGCAGGUGUGUCUACUAUUUGUAACCAACAGACAUUAAUUAAAACUUUAGAAUUAUCAAGAAAUCCUACCACCUUUUGAAUCUUGAAUACUUAGCACCUCAUCAAGACCUAACCCUAGAUCCGAUGACUCAGGUUAAUGGAGUUUAGCCACUCAUGAUGUAACGAACGAAACACAUAAUUGAAUUCAUGAUUUGAAGAUAAACUUACAGAGAUGAAUAAUAACUAGUAAAUCGCAGAUUAGAUCACAAAAGAAAAUUUCCAAAAAUACUGAUAAUAAUCUCUUAGAAAUAAUUGUGUUGUUAAAGUCAAGAAGUAAAGAGAGAAAAUAUCAAAAUAUGUCUCUUAAAACUCAAGUGUCAACCACUAGAAAAACCCUAAACAAUGCUUUUUAUAGUUAAUCCUAAAUAAGAAAAUAAAAUCACAAUUUUCAGAAAAUCCUUCGGAAUAGGUGAUGAUAUUUGUGAUGGCGUGUUAGGGUCCUGAUGACUUGUCAGAAAUGUCGUCAGGCCCUCCAGCAUUCUUGGCAUCUUUUGCUUCAACUGACAACAAAGCUUGACGACUUAUCAGAUACGUGACGACAUAUCAGAAAUGUCAUCACUUCUUCAUUCAAAAUUUGAUUCUCUUCCUACACUUAAUGGCAACUCUGACGCCUUAUCAUAGUUAUGACGACAUAUUAGACCUUCUAACACUGCAACACCUGAUGUGAUUUCUGAUAACUUAUCACAGGGCUGAUGACUUAUCAGGAAUGUCGUCAGCCACACUUCCAGUUCUUUUGCAUCAGUUUUCAGCUCUUUUGCUUCCAUUUCCUUAAAUUUUCCUUGCAUCAUGACUUUUACUGCAAUAUCAAAGUAAAAUAAUUAAAAAUGACAAAAGUUACUUAAUACUUUGCAAUUAUUCUUAGUUAAAAGCCUCAAAUGUGUUAGCAUUAGCUCACACAUCAACACCCUCAACUCAAAACAAUUUCUUGUCCUCAAGCAACUCAACACAACUAAGAGAAUACAAAGUACAUUUGACAGUCAAUCAUCCAUAUCAUCUCAAAACACUUUCACCCUCUCCAAGGUCAGUCAAUUCAAGAACAAUUAAGAACACUAAUGCAACACACAAAAAUUAAUAUACGGUAUUAAUUCAGCUACAUUAACCAUGCAUAUACCAGUAUUACACUCUCCAAACAAGUUAGCAACUAGCAACAUAACCAGUGUGAACUCACUACAAAGAAGUCCCAUUGCACUUAUACCAGACAUCACAUAUGUAACCAUGGGGACAAUCACAAGACACUCACUCUCAGAAUGAUGUUCCAAUAAAUGUAUGCCGAAUACCAUAGGCUUGCCCUUAUUUUUAUUGCCAAGAUCUUCAGAUAGGUCAGCUAGGAUCACUAUAGGUCUUCUCUUUGGCUUGUAAUAUAGGCUAGGGGCUGGUAUGAUACUCGAUGAUAUUUAAAGUGACUAAGCCACCUUGACACUACACUAGCUUUUGGGGUCUCACUCAUUUACCUUUUUCUAUUCUUCUCUUUUCUUGAUCAUACUUAUUCAGGAUGGGUGCGGUUCUUUUCUACAAUCACUUCUUCUUUUUCAGCACUUUUCUUUUCUUGCUCUUUUCCACCGCACCCAGUUUUUUGUUCUUUUCUUUUACUCUAUCUUUAUUCAUACUCAUUUUACAUCAUGCACCCCUAUGAUAGCCACCCUCAACUUAGGACAUUUGCCUAAGUCAAGGUGCACAGUUUCCAAGGAGGACCAGGGCUAAAAUAGAUUUAUUAUGAUAUAAAAAUGGGACGGUGAUAGGUAUCAUAAAAAGAAAUAGGCUAUUCAGGCUCAAAAUAGGGAUCAAGGGAUAUUAUACAUACAGGGAAGAUUAUUUAGGCUAAAAGUGGAUUAAUAUCAACAACGGCCUAUAAUCCUUUCCUAACCGCUAUCCUACAACCAAGGCAAGACCAAUCGGGCAAGUUCUAGAUUUAACACACAACAGAAACUAGGUAGCAUCUCACACACACAUGGCUCAAAGGUACAUCACAAGCUACUACCCAUUCGGUUCAUGCAAUUGUUUAGCAAUGGUUAUCAUGUUACUAGAACUAAUACCAUACAAAGAUAAACAAUGGUCACAAUUAGAUACAAAUCACACAGUUAAAGAAUUAGACCACUUGAGAAGUGUUCACAAAAUAACAAAACCGUGUUAACUGCCUCAAGUACUUGUAUUUCUCCUGGUCAACUACAAAAUAUUACAACAAAUCAUAAUACGCUUAAACAUGUCGACUCUACUAGGAAGAAGACUCUGGGGAAAAGAGGCAUGACAACAAAAACCCAUGGAGGACAUCAACACCCACAAGUAUCCUCACCCUCAACUUAAAAUCAUGCAACGUCCCCAAUGCAUCAAACCAAAACAAGAGAGUUAGAAACAUACCUGUGGCACCACGGGUGCGAAGAUCUGAUGCCAAUCAUAUAAUUCGAAUACAAACAACAAAACACCUUGGGUUGCCUCCCAAGAAGCGUCUAAUUUAGUGUCGUGGCAUGACUCAGUUAUCUUGACUACUCAAACUUCAUCAAGAUACCUUGUUGAUAAUUAUUUAUGUCUCCACUUAGAAGAUUUAAAACGUCGACCCAACUUUUGAUCAAUAUAUCUUUGAGGCACAUUGGGAAAAUAUACGGAUACAAUGACACUUUUUUUAUCUCGCCACUUUGAUGACUUGAAUCUUUUACCCAACUUUAUAUCAAAUUUUCGAAUACGCUCAUUGGGUAUUGAUGAGAUUAUCAAUAAUCCACUUGAUGCACAUUGAUAUUUUCAUUUACUGACCUUCAAGUGGGGGGUUUUAUUUUGAUCUUUUUGGAUGCCAAACUCUAAAAUAUAAGGAUUAUGUUCCUCAUCCUCAAAACACCUCAGUUUCUUGGGUAGGUGGACUUCCAUCUCAUCCACCAUGCACAAUGUUGAAAAAUGGUUCGAAUGAGGUCUUCUCCUUAAUUUUGGAGUUGCAUCCUUCUGGGUAUCCUUACCUCGAAUUGGGCUAGAGUUUUCAAAAGAGAUUUGUGUGGUUUCUUCUUUUGCCUUUAGCUCCGUUUCCUCAAUCUUGGCAUCAUCCCUCAUGGUUGGUUCAGUUGGUUGAAAAAUCAUCGAGGGUUACUUAACAUCAAGCACAACAUCGAUAUAGGAUUCUUGUUCCUCAUCUUCACACUCGUCUAUUAUGUUAAAUAAUCCCACAGACAAGAUAUCAUCUAAACAUAAUAUGGAAAAGUUCUUUGAAUGCUUGACCUCUAUAUCCAUAUCCUCUAUCAUUCUUCUUUCCUCGUUAUUUUUCCUUUAUGUUUUGAUGUAUAUCACGUAUGAUAUCAUUUAUUAUGUCCACAAAAUCCAACAUUAGUUGAAGCAUAGCUUUAAUGCCACUCUUUUCGAUGCUUCGUUGUUCCUGUUCUUGACCAUAAGACCUAUCAAAAUCAUAGAAAGAACUUGAAUUUGGGUUAGCAUACUGGGGGGAGGGGCCAUUUGGGCAAUCACUCCAAUGUCCAUCUUGACCACCACAUAAAGAACAAUCAUACUCCCAGUAGGAUGGAGAUGGUGCACACAUCUCUCUCUGGGGAGCAUAUCUACAAUCUUGCCAAAAGUGAGGUCCAUCACAAUUUGGACAUGGAUCAUCAAGAUACGAGUUCCAACCACCAAGCUCAUGUUCAUUCCAAGACGUCAUAGUAAUAGAUAAACUAAAAUAAAAAUCUACCUAACACCAGAAAUAAAAGAAAACUAAAAACAAAUAUUUACAAUUUUAAAUUCAAGCAAGUAGGCUAAAAUUCCAAACCAACUCAAUACGCCAAAUUGUUCCCCGGCAACGGCGCCAUUUUUCAUAACGCUCAACUUACACAUCAAUUUAGUUCAAGGCGGUCAUCAUCAAUAUAUUUACCCAACUUUGGAGUCGAGGUCGAAUCCACAGGGAACAAUAUGAGUGGCGAUUAAACUAAUUUGAAACUAAAGCUACAAGUUGAAUUCAAACAGAUGAUAUGAAAAUAUAAAAUGGGGUUUUGGAGAUUAACAAAUAAUUGUUGGUCACUUUAGUUACAGUGUUUGUAAAUCAAGAGUUUAUGAAAUAACCAGAAUUAUGUUCACUAGGGCUUCCGGUGCAUGACAGAUGCUAAAAGUUGUUCAAGAUUCUCAUGGUGGGUAGGAUAACAAGCUAUCUUUAUUGAUGUUAUGCUUAAAUGUCUCUUGACCUACUUAAGCUUUUAAAUCCCUAAUCCUCUCAGACUUAGGGAAUUUCUAUUUACUGCCCAGAUUUUACCUCAGGUUAACCGACCUUGUUACAUCGCUGAUUAUUAAAUAAAGUAUUUCCGAGUCCCUGUUGAUAAUUCAGUUUCUACUAUAUUUGAUUUCUUUCUCAAGAAAAUCAAAGUAGGUAUGUCUACUAUUUGCAACCAAUAGACAUUAAUUAAAACUUCAAAAUUAUCAAGAAAUCCUACCACCUUUUGAAUCUUGAAUACUUAGCACCUCAUCAAGAUCUCAUCCUAGAUCCAAUAACUCAGGUUAAUGGAGUUUAGCGACUAAUGAUGUAACGAACGAAACACAUAAUUGAAUUCAUGAUUUGAAAGAUAAACUUAUAUAGAUGAAUAAUAACUAGUGAAUCACAGAUUAGAUCACAAAGGAAAAAAUCCCAAAAUACUAAUAAUAAUCUCUCAAAAAUAGUUGUGUUGUUAAAGUCAAGAAGUAAAGAGAGAAAAUAUCAAAAUAUGUCUCUUAAAACUCAAGCACCAACCACUAGUAAAACCCUAAAUAAUGUUUUUUAUAGUUAAUCCUAAAUAAGAAAAUAAAAUCACAAUGUUCAGAAAAUCCUUCGGAAUAGGUGACGGUAUUUGUGAUGGCAUGUCAGGGUUCUGACGACUUAUCAGGCAUGCCGUCAGGCGCUCCAGCAUUCUUGGCAUCUUUUGCUUUAACUGACGAUAAAAGUUGACGACUUAUCAGAUACGUGACAACAUAUCAGAAAUAUCAUCACUUCUUUAUUCAACAUUUGAUUCUCUGCCUAUACUUGACGGCAACUCUAACACCUUAUCACAGUUAUGAUGACAUGUUAGAAAUGUUAUCAUAUUUUUACUUUAAUCCUUCUAACACUGCAACACCUGACGUGAUUUCUAAUAACUUAUCAUAGUGCUAACGACUUACCAGGAAUGUCGUCAGCCACACUUCCAGUUCUUUUGCAUCAGUUUUUAGCUCUUUUGCUUCCAUUUCCUUAAAUUUACCUUGCAUCAUGACUUUUACUGCAAUAUCAAAGUAAAAUAAUCAAAAAUAACAAAAGUUGCUUAAGACUUUGCAAUUAUUCUUAGUUAAAAGCCUCAAAUAUGUUAUCAUUAGCUCACACGUCAAUAUUCACUAAGGCAUUAGGCAGGGAACACUUUGAAAAAAAUAGGUUAGCCUUGGGAAUGAUUAAGAUUGCAUAAAUCUCUCUCAAUGAUUGACUAGAAAACUUGAUGUGCUUCUGAAUUAUUAUUAAUUAAUCCAGUCUUACACAUUUAGUUGUGUGUCCUAAUUCUAAAAUGUUGAGUGAGCUAAUCUUCAUUUGCUUAAAUUUCUGCAGUGUAGUUGGAACUCGUAAAGCAAUUUUGUUCAGAAGUUCAGGAUUUCAUGUAUGAUUGUUAGCCUAUCUUAUAAUUGACUAAAGAAAAACAGGUCUGCCUACUUGGUUCUUGGUAUUCUCUUAAUUGCCAAAUCUUAAGAGUCCAACAAAUUUAAAAAUCUUCCACCACAAUCCCAUCAGCACUGAACCUCCUCAUCAUUAUCCUGUCACCUAUCAAAUCCUUUCCCUUUACGAUUCAAAUUCUCAUUUUUUUUAUAUAGCCAUUUCUUUAUCUCUUACCUCACUCACCACUGCACAACCAAGAAAAAUUAAUUGAUUAUCUCUCACUAUGGCAUCUUUAUCUUAUACUCCUUUAUCAUACUCCACUGCCACCCCUUCGAUAGCCAUGGUUCUUCAUCCAAAUUCCAACUCACCACCUCUCAUUCCUCCUCUAAUUUCAAUUAAACUAUCCAAUUUUGCGGCCUUUAAAAACUUUUUAAAACCCUCUGCUUAGUUUUUUUCAAAUCCUUCAUCCUCGUCUAAAUCCUUACUGCCACCUCCGAUCCUUCUCCAGCUUAUUGACACUGAUGAUGAAUCCAUUGCUAAUUUGAUCCUAAGAAGGUCAAGAUCUAAAUAAAAAAGAAAAUUUUCUUCCCCCACCAUUAUUGUAGAAUACCAAGAUCUGGAUGAACCCACCCCUGUUACACCCAGUCCAAGAACUACUCACAUUCGUGAGAAAAAGCAAUGGGAAAAAGCUUCUUUAGCUGAAGCCCUUCAAGCCAGCAAAAGAAAAUGGGUUGCUAUAUCUUCUUAUCCUCCUCAUCGUUCAUCCUCUCCUGAUAUUCUUUUUUGCUCUGUACUUAAAGGAAAAUCAAUCAAAGAAAAAGUUUCAAAACCCUCAUAUUCUCGUAAAUCCUUAUCUCAGCCUAAACCUACCCCUUCCUCAAAAUCCUCCUCAUCCUCUAAACCUACUCCAAAGAAGUCAUUUUUAUGUUCAACGAAAUAGGUUACAAAACCUAUUCCCUUUGAGUCUUCUAAGUCUGACCCUCUUCUUGAUACCCCUACUGAGUUGGAUCUAGGUUUUGAACUUCAUGAACCCCCUACAAAUCAGGAGACUCUUAAAGAUCACCAUCUGUAUUUUCAAAAGCAUAAGAUAGCUAGAGGGCGUGUUGUUAGUGGUUUUGAGGGUGAUGAUAUGAAUGUGUUGUUAGCAAAGCUAGAGGUCCAAGAAUUGUCACCCUAUUUCUUCAGGGUAACCUACAAAGAAAGCUUGCUAAGCCUGAGGUUUAUGAGUUCUAUACAAAUAGGGUAGCUAUUGGUGAUAUGUUCUCUACCACUAUUUGAGGGAACAUUAUAAAUUUCUAUGUUGCUGAUAUUGCUAAUAUUUUACACAUUCUUUUAGGGGGUUGGGGUCAUUAUGUCAAGGUCAAUUGGACUCCUUUUGACAAUCUUGCAUCUUCCCUAGAUAUAUCUCAUAAGUUUUCUGGAAACCCUUACCUGGUUAAUCAUCAUAGAGUUCUCAAAAGAGAGAUGACUCUACUUCAUCAACUCUACUUUAAUGUUGUUCACAAAAUGCUCACCCCUAGGAAGGAAGAAGGAUUGUAGACAACUUCCUUGAUCUUACUCUCAUGGAGCUACUAGAUACUGAGGGAAAAUUGAUCUGCCUAGGAUUGUCCUAAAGCAUAUGCAAAGGGUUCUCCUUACAGAAGUGAAUAGACAUGCUCUUCCCUAUGAAUUCUAGAUGACACCUAUAUUUGAAGAGUUUGGAGUGCCUGUCCAAGUGUGGUCUAUGCAGACCACUAAAGAUGUUAUAAGAAGUGUGGACCAUAUACAGCUACCUAUUUUUAUGAGGAGUGCAGACAAUCCAAUGCAGUGCUUAAGGAAUGCUCUAAAUGCCAAGACUGUUGAAUUGGAAGCUAUGCAGGCUGAAAAUCUAAAUCUUCGUAGUCAGAUCACUUCCCUUCAACUUGCACUUAAAAAUGAAAGAUUGUCUAAUGCUAAAAUCAUGCACAAAUUGACUACUCUCAUUCCUUCUGCCUCUUUCUCCUAAACUUAGUUCACUUCUUAGCCCCUAGUAGUCCUCUUUGUGUACUGGCUUGCUUGUUUUUCUUAUUAGUUUUUAGAUUUUAGUUGAUGUCAACUUGAUCUUGAAUGUACUAAACUACAUUGCUUCUUGUGGUUUGAUCCUGUUUAAUAUAAUGAAUGAUGGUUAUUUCCUUCAGCUUCUGAUUAUUUUAGUGAUAGCCCCAAUGGCCAUGGAUUAUUAAACAUCUCUAACUAAGUGCUUCUUUUUCGAUGAUGUCAAAAAAGGAAGUAUUAUAUUGUGCAAUGUUUAUAACUCAAUGAAUAACUUAUUUCUAGUGUUCUUGUGUCUUAUUCGUUUAUUGAGUAUGUUAGGAAUUCAAGAAGUGCUAUGGUAAAUGGUGUGAUACUUGAAACAUGUGUUAUAUGGUUUAUCAUCAUCAAAAUGAGGGAGUUUGUUAGAGUAAAAGAGUUUUGAUGAUUGACAUAUGUUGAUGAAACAUGUUAGUCAUGUUGGUUCUCACAUGUAAAACACAUCAGAGCAAUUGCAAGGUUGAUAAUAUGUAAAGACAGGAGAGGAUAAACAAGGAUAGUCAGAUAUGUUCUCAAUGCUUAUCACAUGCAGCAAAGAGGAUGAAAAAGAAAAAAUAAAUCCAACACUUAGACAUUGAGUUGAUCAAGGAGUCUUUCCAGACUAGGGGAUAAAGUAGAAGAGUUAUGUUCAAUAAGGAGAGAGAGACCGCUGCAAUAAGGAGUGAAACUACCUGGUAGAAUCCUAUUGAAGAUAGAAGAAUACAUCUCUAGAGGACUCAAUCAGGAUUUGGCUUAAAUACAACAAACGACAUUCAAGUUUUUCACUCAAGCACUGAACAAGAAAAUCAUCAAUCAGCAAAUUAGUUCACUAACUUGAAGAGGAACCUGGUCCUUUACUUAGCAAGUCAUAGACUCUGUGUAAUAGGUUGGUUCUUUGAGUUGUAAUUAGUCUUUGUUCUAGUCUCAAUGAAUUAUAAAUUGAGUUAGGAGUUAUGUCUUCAAGUUAGGGAACUCGACGACUUGGGUACACUUAUCUUGGGAAGAUUUGUGUUAUUGUAGAAAUAAGAGUUAGAAGCUUUAAUUCCUAGUUUAUAAGAAGUCUUGUAAUUUGUUGAUUGUUAAGGCUCAAGAUUAUUAGUGAAGUUUGUAUACCUUUCUUGAGCGGGGUGUUUUCCACGUAAAAAUAAUUAUUUUCAUUUUUACUUCCUUGAACCAUGUUAGUUGACUUGUUCCACUGAUAGGAAACUAUUAGAGUAAAACAAUAAAAUCAGUAGGGUACAUAGUUCAGCACAACUGGUGGAUUGGGUCAUUGGAAUCAUCUCAUUCUAUUUUAAAGUGAAAAUCUCUAGGGCCUCCGCGGCUCCACAGUAAAGAGGGUGGAACCGGUUUUGCCCCAUUUAAAUCAAAUCAUCAGGUUACAGAACAGCUUGAAGUUUGGACAGAUUUUAACAUAUACUAUACACUAGUUGCAUGAGCCAUCUAUCCAAGAAAUAAUUUGGAAAUCCUCUAGAUACCGUUUACUCCAAAAAGCCACAAAAACGUACACACAUGCAACAUAAGAAAACAAAUGACUACCAAUACGAAAUACUGAACAAAGAAAAAAAAAGACAACAAAGAUAAAGACUCUUGACUAUCUUAAUGAGUGAACAGCACUAAACAGUAAAACCAUAGAAUACAACUACAUAUUCAAGAUGACCCAAAACAUGUUUAACUGACAUAAUCAAAAAAGUUUUGAAGAGCUAAAGCUAGUGAAAUUUACUUCAGUUCAAUACCUGUGGUGCAACUAAUUUCCGAGGAAGAAGUUCUACAUGGCAUCAAGCACAAAAUUCCCAUGUUAAUAUCUGAGAAAAAGAAAAUCUAUAAAUGAUUUGAAUAAACUAGGCUCUCAC